ACGCAUACGGGCCAUCAUCCACUAUAGCUAUAUACCCAACAGGCAUCGAUCGUGGCGCGUUUAGUUACGUUUUCGCUUUUCACCGAGCUAGAACAACCAUCAUCAUCUUCGCAGCGUCGAGCGUGAGGACGACGACGACAGCGGAACGUUCGAAAGAAUCAAGAAACCUCAUCAUCGGUUGUGCCGUGUUCACGCGUGUGAGAGUCACCCACCCAGCAUCGCCGAGUGAGAGUGCUGGCUGUGUGGUGGAAGACUUGACACUGACUGGGCGACCGACGACGACGACGACGACGAGUGAGUGAGAGUGUCGUCCGAGAGUGUGCGGUUGCAUGAGGGAAGAAGAGUGCCGUACCGCGUGCCGUCCUUCUGUCACUUACCAGUGUACGCGCGUUGCCUACUCCUGCUGGAAAUCCGCGCGCUUCCCCUUUACAGGCCGGUCAGGAAGAAGGUUUUAGCAUCGCACAUCGUACAGCAGGGAGUCCACAGGCUCGAGUCGAGUUUCGCUUUUGGCAGUGUGUUUUGUGGCGCUGUGCAGGAAGGAAGUGUGUGCUGGCGUAAGAGCGCGCGCGAGAGUAUCAAGGCAAAGAGCAAGAGUCUUCUUCAAGCGCAAGUAAUCGAGCAAGUUGCAGAACUGAAAGUGAAAAUAGGCCUGUCUGGGUCCAACCUCCCUCCGGUGUUGACUAUGCAUAGCUAUAUAUCUGUUUGACGAUACCGAGGCCUACCCGUGCCUCGCACCCACAGCCGUCGUGACGUCGAACCGCGCCGCAAAGAAUAGGCCUUUUGUCCAAGUUCUUAGAGAAAACUUGGGCUCCUUUUUGUUUUGCACGGUCGUGAAUGAAGUUAUGCGUAGUGUUUUCGUUCCUGUUUCCGUAAACCAGAGUGGAAGAACAACUUUGAAUAAUUCGGACGUUGCGUGUGAGCUGAGCAAUUUUUUGCAUCGAUAGGGAAAAACUUGAAAAUAGAUUCUCCGAUUUUUUAUGCAAUCGAUGACAAGGAAGAAAAGUGAAGAAAAACAAAUGCCAAAGUGCGACACCUCAGUGAUAACGAUUUUUCACGUUUUUCUAUCGUUUUGUGCUGUGUGUUCGUGAGCUCUCAGGGAUCUCCUCUUGCGUCGUGUGGCAAACGUCAACGGCAACGACGACGAAGACGAAAGCAAAUCCCACCAGAAGAGGGUACGAAAAUAGCGAGAGUGCUGGAGAAUAUUAGCUGCUUUUGCAGGAUUUUUAUUUCGGUUCGGUAUGUGAGAAUCGGACGGUGAAAGAAGAGAAAAAUAGGGCAAGUGUACUUGAACUACGAAAGGGAUGUUUUUGAUCCGCGGUACCGAAACAGCAGGAUGAAGAAUAGUAAUUCUGAGCUUUGUGCAAGUAACUGACAAUAAAAACCAGAAUAUUAGAUCUCGAGAAGUGUUAGACAGUGAUUUAGGGAAGAAAUAAAUUGAAACUUACAGCUGAGAAAAAGAGCAGUGAUGAACCGUGACGACUAUCACCACUGAAUUUACACGAAGUGAGUGCUUUAUCAGUUUUAGUUUCCGUCUUCAUCCUUCUUACUGAUUUUCGUGUGUCCCUUAUCGAGGGACCUGCCAAGCCGCGAAAAUAGAUACCUUAGCGUUACACUCGUAUCACCCGCUGCUCCUAAUGGCGCCUCGUCGAGGAACCGUAGGCCCGGCGACGGACCUGUUUGGGACUCUUGGUGGCGAUUCCGACCACGGUUUCGAGAGCUCCCAGUCGAUAGACGGGUCCGGCAGCGAAGGUGCUCACAUGACCCGGUGUUGCGUCCCAAUCGGAGACUGCUUCAAAUCUUCUCCGGUCGAUUACGGUUCCAUCAAUUUGGAAGAUCUAAGGGAUUGCAUUCGGGUUAUCUGCAACAAUGAUAACUGCUCCGCUGGGCAGUACAUGCAUCGCGAGUGUUUCGAUCACUGGGAAGAAGGUGUUCUCAACUACCUCAAAUCGAUUGGCCGGGCCAGAUCCUGGUCGGACAAGCAACGCCAACAGAACCUCUGGACCAAAAAAGGCUACGACUUGGUGUUCAAAGCUUGCUCUUGCAAGUGCGGACGUGGCCAUCUCCGCAAGGAUCUGGACUGGAUCCCACCAACUUCGCUGUUCCAAUCCCGCCUGGACGAUGAAUCCGCCAAGAAGAAGAAAAAGAAGAACCGACAAAAUCAGAAACCGAUCCUGGCCAUAUCCACCAGUCCCUCGAGCCAUUCGAGCAGCUCCUCCAACAGCCCCAAUGCCGGAACCGCAGGAACAAACUCAGGAUCCACUCUGUUGAACAGCCUUAAACUGGCGGACCACUUUGCUACCUCACUGAUUCUGAAUACCGGCAGCGGUGUUGCGACCGGUCACGGCACCGGGCACCACGGACACGGUGGUGGUCGCCAGCGGACCAAUUCGCUGUCCUCUUCGAGCAAUGGUUCCAGCACUCCGCCGGCAAGUUCCACGACAUCUGGCGGUGGCAGCGAGUGCCAAAGCAUUUCGCCGGUGCACAGCGGGCUAGGGCUGAGCGGUUGUUCGGUAGCGGCCACUGCAGCAGCACUCGCCAAGCUGCCCCUGACGCCGAAGACCAAGGUGGAAAUCUACUCGGAACGAGUGAGGUGAGUAACGUGAUUUUUUUUCUUCUUGGAUUUUGUGUUUGUUUUUCCACACUCUGUGCGAAAGUGCGUGAGGGUCGACCCUGAUUAGAAAAUCCAGUUGGAUUUCUUGUUGUGCGGAAAGAGGCGUGACUGUCAGUGGCAAUCAAUGAAAUAACGUCGGUGGAUAGGAAGAGAACAGUGGUGUGAGAUUAGCAGUGAUAUUUUUUUUUCUGAGAUUUGGAGAAAACCUCGCAUUGGUUUAACGACUUACGGAACUUAAGUUGAAGACUUGUUUCGAUAAUCAGAGCUUUUGCUCUGCUGACAAGUAUUAAACACUAGGAACACUAGGACAAAACACUAGGAAAAAUCGUCAAGGGUCAACAGUUUUAAAUUUUGACAUAAUGCAGUGUUUUUAAAUAACGUUCCUGCGAAUUAGGUCACAAACCUUGGUUACUGAGGAUUUGAUGGAAGUGACAUAGCAAAAAUUAGUAAAGAUUUCUGUAGUAUCAAAAAUGAAAAUAUUAAUCUUUAAGAUAGUUUUAAGCCUUCCAAGUUCUACACAAUCAUUUUCAAAAUUUUAGAAAUUCUUUACAAUUUUGACAUUGAUAGAACAAUUUUUCAAAUUAGUUUCAACAUUCUUACGUUGUGUACAGAUGUCUAGAUAUUCAUAUACCUGCAGCCUCUGAUCGUUUCGCGUGUUUUUUUAACAUAGGAUUGAUAAAUUGUGCCGUGAAAACCACUGAAAUUUCAAAUAUUUUUUUUUAAUUAAACAGAGCUUUUGUGUUCUAGAUUUUUGCUUUAGCUUUGCAUCCCAAUCCUAGUGCUAGUUACGAAGAAUGAGAUGUACACAGAAAAAAAUAUGUAAUUAAAAUUCAGCGAGAAAUCAUGCACAUAAAGGGAAUGCUAGAAUUAGUGCACUUUUACAUGAGAUAUAAUGUAAAAUUACAGUACCAUCGUGUAAAUUUCCGCCAACUAUCGCGUAAAACAUCAUGGACUCCAACCGCUUACGCGAAUAUUAGCGGAAAUUUACACGAACGUAACGUAAUUUUACAUGAUAUCUCAUGUAAAUUGCACUAACUCUAGCAUUCCCUUUAUGUGCAUGAUUUUUCGCUGAAUUUUACAUGAAUAUUUUUUUCUGUGUAGUAUAAGCUUGUAAGCGGAAAAAAGCUACUUUUUCGAUUGCAUUUUCGGACUACUCUGCACUUAAAAUUACUAAAAAUUAGUCGAGUUAAAAAUGCUGCAAAUUAUUUAAACUUAGUUCAAAAAUGGCGUGGCGUUCUAGAAAGCAAACAUCUUAGAGCGCGAUUUUUAUUUUUUUCCCGGUCAAGAAGUUGUGCAUACAGGGGGUAAUGGAAUUAAAUUUUUAAAGUUAAUUAAAUAGUUAAAUAGUUUAAGAACCUUCCUUGUUCUUAAGGAAUCUUAAUUGAAAGUUUUGAUGGAGAUUAUGAUUCUUCAACUGGUCAAUGUUGGACAGAGCUCUUUGAGAAGUUUAUGAAAAAAAUCCGAGAAUAUAAAAAGAGGAUUUCAGAAUGGAAACUUCGAAGAAGUGUAUGCAAUACUUGUUGACGAAUCUGAUGAAAAACUUUUGAGUGCAUCUCUGAGCUCAGGCUCGAUUUCUAAAAAAAUCUGUGAACUCUCGGACAAAAUCUUAUAAAGGGGAAAAACUUCUUUUACGAGAAAUAAUAUCAGUGUAAAGAUGUUUCUUUCACAAAAAAAAACAACGAUUAUCCAGUGAUGAUAUAGCCGCAGAUUUUUAAAACCAUUUCUGAAAACAAAGUGCAACCAAACUUUUGAAAGAGCCAAUCUAUAACAGAGGGUUCUGACUGCCGAUAAGAGUAUAAGGUAGAUAUUCUGGGAAAAUUUUUCACUUGUGUGCAAUGUUUGGUGUUGUUAUAGAUGGCAAAUUUCGGCAAAAAUACUUUUUGGUAGAAUCCCCAGAAACUUAUUGAAAAAUCAAUAAUUAAUAAAUAAUUGAUAAUCGCGUCCAUUUUUUUUUAAUAUUUCGCGAAUUUUCAGGGACAGUUAAUAAAAAACUUUGCAUUUGUUUUGCGUUCUCUAGGGCAUUGCAUAAACGGUGGGUUACUUUCAAAUUGACUAACACUGUUAGCACUGAUCACCACGGUACUGCUUCUCUUCUACUUUGUCGGCGGUAAAAUGAAGAUCACGGGAUGUUUUUGUUCCUUAUAAACUCAUUCGGACGCCACGCCCUUUUCAUGUCUUCUAUUAGUAAAACUAAAAGUUUAAGGAUUUUACCAUUUCAAACAGCUUUAAAUCUAUAGUUUUCAGUAAUUUUUUUGGGAAAAAUAUUAAUUUAAAAACAUUUUUACUGAAUUUUUCUUUUUGCCUUUCUCGUACACUAAGUGUACUGGAAAGGCUAUAUGUUCACUCCAAAAAUGACUUUUUGAUAGAAGGCCCGGAGGGUCGAGUCACAUAUACCAAUCAACUCAGCUCGACGAAUUGAGGUGAUGUCUGUGUGUGUGUGUGUGUAUGUAUGUGUGUGUGUAUGUGUGUGUACAAAAAAAAAAACUCACAUCACUUUUUGGCAGUAAACCUCAACCGAUUUUAAUGACCAACGGUUCAUUCGACGCGGAAUCUGGUCCCAUUGUUUCCUAUUGAAAAUGGUUCGAAUCGGUCCAGCCGUUCCGGAGUUAUGGCCAUUUAGGUGUUCCGGAUCGGUACCCCAGGAAGGGGCCAGAUAUGAAAACGAUACAAACCCAUUCAUGCGACACAUCAAACCGCGGCACUUUCGAAAACAUGAUGAACGGUAAACAGGAAAAUAGUAUCGGACCAUAUCUGAACCGGUAGUGAUCCGGAACCGGUUCCGGGUGACCCGCCGGAAGUGGCCAAACAUGAAAGUGAACCAAACCCAUACAUGCGACACAUCAAACAGCGGAUUUUUCGAUAAGCUGAUAAACAGUAGGCAGGAAAACAUUCUCAGACCAUAUUUGAACCAGUAGUAUUCUGGAACCGGUUCUGGGUGUUCCGCCGGAAGUGGCUAAAAAUGAAAGUGAACCAAACCCAUGCAUGCGAUACAUCUAACAGCGGCUUUUUCGAUAGCCUGAUGAACAGUAGGUAGGAAAAUAUUCUCGGACCAUAUAUGAACCGGUAGUGUUCCGGAACCGGUUCCUGGUGACCCGCGGGAAGUGGCCAAAUAUGAAAGUGAACCAAACCCAUACAUGCGACACAUCAAACAGCGGAUUUUUCGAUAACCUGAUAAAAAGUAGGCAGGAAAACAUUCUCAGACAAUAUCUGAACCGGUAGUAUGCCGGAACCGGUUCUGGGUGUUCCGCCGAAAGUGGCCAAAUAUGAAAGUAAACCAAACCCAUGCAUGCGAUACAUCAAACAGCGGCUUUUUCGAUAGCCUGAUGAACAGUAGGCAGGAAAACAUUCUCAGAUCAUAUCGAAACCGGUAGUGUUGCAGAACCGGUUCCAGAUGUCACGCCGGAAGUAGCCAAGUACAAAAGUUAACCAAAACCUUACAUGCGACGCAUCAAAUCGCAAGCUCUUCAGGCAACCUGAUAAACGGUUAAUAAAAGAAAAUAGUUUCAGAUCAUACAACCGAUAGAGUUCCGGAACCGAUUCCGGGUGUCCCGCUGGAAGUGGUCAAAUGUAGUAGAGAUCAAAACCCAUGAAUGCGGAACAUUCAACAGCGACUUUUUGAAUAAUGUGAUGAACGAUUAGCCAGAAAAUAGGCUCAGACCACAACGAAGAUCUUUAUAAAGGCUACCGAUAGUGUUCCGGGACCGAUCUAGGGUGUCCAGCCGGAAGCAUGCGACACAUCAAACCGCGGUCUUUUUUAAACCAUGAGGAACGAUUAGCAAGAAAAUAGGCUCAGACCACAUUAGAGGCUACCGAUAGUGAUGCAAAACCAGCAUUGGGUGCUUCCUAGGGUGCUUCGCAGGAACUACAAAAAUGAACAAAGUCAAUGCAAGCGAUAAAUAUGUGUAAGAGAACAAAAUCAUGACUGAACUAAGGCCACAUACAUACAGACGUCUUACUCUACUCACUCUCCAUUGGAGAGUGAGUAGCAGUGCUGCAAUUUUUCGACAGGCCUUUAUGAUAGCGAUAUUUUGCUUUUUUUUUCAUUUUCUUCGUUUUGUUUUUCCUGUCAAUGUUGCUUUCCGAUCAGCAUUAUAUAGAGAAUUUUGGGAAAUAUUAGUUUGAGGAAUCUCCCAAAAAGUCAUGAAAAGUCUAUUAAAGCAACGACUAUUAAGAAACUUAUAUCUGUUAGAACCAUAUGUUAGAAAAAAAAUUGAAAUCCCUAGGAAUUAUUGAAGAAUGCUGGUUCAUCUUUUGUCUAAAUUUAUACAAGGAUAGAUAUCUGGUAUAAGUAUGCGACGUUGACAAUUGAUGCAGAUUUUUAGUUGUAAUGCAUCAAACUAUUGACCUGGGAUGAAUCCAAUGGCGAAAAAUCCCUGAAUAUAAAAAUAAAAUAAAAAAUAAUCAAACUCUUGAUCAUUCUCUACGGUUUCUUUCGAAGAUGCUAGUUUACGACUUGCAUCCUAAAUAGAAAUGAUUCGGCAGUGUAAUUAUUCAGCAGAUACAUACAAAAAGAGUUCGAAUGGAAAGGCGCUUACAUUCGUCACUAGGAACAAUUUCAGAAAUUUGGCCGGACUCUAAAAACUCAAAAAAUAUACUUUUACGAAAUGUAAAAACAUGAAUGAUCAAUUUUGGUGGAACCUCGUAAUAAAUGGUACAAUAAAUUCAACAACUUAUUUUUGCUGUAAAUGGUAAAAUUUUGAACGAAUUUCAGAAAUCAAAUAAGGGAGAAAUAUGUAAGAAAUAUGCAUUUGAUAUUAUCUCAGCAUUUUGGAAGUUUUUUAUUUGGCUCCUGGGAAAUAUUGACCUGAUUUUUUUUUAAUUAUGCCUAGUGAAAUCUGAAGAUAUAUUUUUAGCUUUAAAUGUGGCUUUUUCAGGCAGUAUUUCUGAAAAAAUUUGAAGUCAUAAAAGAUGAAACAAUGCAUCAGAACUGGUUGACUAAAUUGAUAUGAAACACGUGAUGCGAUUUCCAAACUUCAGAACUUCUUAAGAAAAUCUUGCGCUAGAGUAAUCGAGAUUAUCAAACCGUUACAUAAAUCCCUUCAGAUAUUUCCUAUAGAAUCCUUGAAGAAUAUCGAGAUGAUAUUUUUUUCUCAAAAUUUAAGAAAACAUUUGACCUUUUUUCUUCAAAACUUUAGCUGUAAUUUGCUCACAUAAAUCUUGGAGAAUUUUAGUAGAGCAUUCAGAAGGUCAGGCUUCAGGUCUUUCUUGUGGUACUCAUGAGAAAUAUUCUAAACAGACUCUAGUCUGUAGAGCAAUUUCAAAAGCGAAUUCUUUAGAGAUAUUUUUACGAGAAUUUCCGAAAAAAGUACCAAAGUUUUAAAGUAUCAUUUUCCAAAAGAAUUUAUUCAGAAAUUUUUGACAGAAAUUUUCAAAGCAAUGCGAAUUUGGUGUUUUCAAUAGCAUUCGGUACGCAUGCUUAUCCCAUUCUCUGAAUUAGUGCAUUUUCUCAGAACUCAUUUAGGCGCUGUCCAAAAGCUGGGUAGACUUUUUUGGCAAGCUCAUUUUUAUUGGAGAUUUUAAAAGUAAGGAUGCGGUGUUAAAGUAAAAAUAUCCAAAGCACGCCCUAAAAAGUCUAGGUGAAGAAUUUAGCUGGAGACUGAGUGCUAAUGAAAUUCCCUCAAUACCGUCGUGCGGGGCUUCUUUUUACACUUUUUCAUGAUUUUUCAACUUUAUGACAUUAUAACUCCCAGAGUAGUGAAUGGAUUUCCACAAUUUUCACACAUAAUAAUUGUGAGUAUGUAUGUAGGAUGUAUGCAAAAUUUGAACUAAAUCCAUCAAUAAACAAAAAAGUUGUUCAUACACCAAUCGGACACAUCUCAUAUAGAACCAGAUGGGGGCUACUUUGGACAUUUUUAUCUAAAACAAAAUUGCAUUUCAAAUUCCAGGUUUAUUUAGAAAACUACUUUGUACCAAUACUGUAGUAUACUUUUUUUUUAUCUGUAUAAAUGAGAUUUUUAGCCCUAGGCUAGUUCAUCUCGGGACCCACGCUUUACUUCCCUUCCGAAGGAAGAACUCACAUUUUGCGAGUUUGUCGGGAGUGGGAUUCGAUCCCAGGUCCUCGGCGUGAUAGUCAAGUGUUCUAACCAUCACACCAGGUCCGCUCCACUGUAGUAUACUAUAUCAGACAUAAUUUCAAUAAAUUUAUGCGUUUGAAGAUGGUUCCGUGCUACCUUUGGUAUUAUGAGCAGCGUGAUAUUGCUAUAUAAAUAGCCUGAAAAAAAGGACCAUCAAUCCUUUAUUUAGGUGAAAUGGUCAUUUAUAAUGUAUAACGAUACAAAUAUUCGAUUGUAUAUGCUACGUUGAUAUAUUUUGAAUGAAUUGAUCAACCCUUUGAAAUUUAUGAACUGUAGAAACAAUGCUUACAGACCAAAUGUUCUGAUACGUUAUGUAUAUUUUAUUGAUUUAUUCGAUGUAUUUUCGCGUCCUGCCAAGCAAUAAACGGUCCGUUCGAAAAAUAAUUUCAAACAAAUGGAGGGAAAACUAUUGCUUCGUAAUAGUCCCAAAGACAUCAAACAGAUUUGAACCAUAUUUCGAAUUCAAAAAAUCCAUAUUCGAAAGUGUCCAAAGCAGCCCCGCAUUUCAAAAGUAACCCCGCACGACGGUAUAAAUUUAAAAAGUCCUGCAGAUUUAACAAUAAAAAAAACUUUAGGAUUAAUUAUUUAAAAAUACAUUAUUUUUAAAAUAAAAAAAUGAAUAACAAUUAUCAGUUGAGUAUCAUCGAUUUGCUGUAAUCAUUUUUAUAAUUAUGAAACUCUUUCAGGUUUUAAGACAUCUUUAAGAGAUUUCAUUACAGAAAAUAGACCAACAGGGCGUAACAGCCAUUUCAAAUCUCUGCUUCUCUCGGUCCUCCUUGGCGUAUUCCCUAUUAUUUAUGCAAUUUCUUAGCAGUAACAGGUACAGAAGACUCUCCUUCUUCUUCUUCUUCUUCUUUGUGGCUCUACGUCCCCAUUGGGACUUGGCCUGCCUCGCUUCAACUUAGUGUUCUUUGAGCACAUCCACAGUUAUUAAUUGAAGGGCUUUCUUUGCCUGCCAUUGCAUGAAUUUAUAUAUUGUGUGAGGCAAGUACAAUGAUACACUAUACCCAGGGAGUCGAUUAAAAUUUCCCGACCGGAACGGGAAUCGAACACGCCGUCUCCGGGUUGGCGAUCCAUAGCCUUAACCGCUAGGCUAAUUGCAGACUCUCGUCUAUCUGAUAACGGACUAAGUUUGCAAAAAUUAAUUUAAAUACGGCUAGGAGGAACGAAAGAAGCUGAGGCAUGCAAUGGUAGUUCUGGCCUUUUCAAAUGUUGGUCUAGUACUGUGGAACUACACUAUUGAAACCCCAUAGGAGUUCUUUUGAUGCACUAUGCAACAGCACAUACGACAGCACACAUAGUUAGAAAUUGUCUAAGAUAAUCUAAAAUGUUUUUAUUCAACAACUGGAUCCUUUUCAGAGUUUUUUUUUAAAGCUUGCAGAAUAUUUUAAGGGACAGUCAUUUGAAAAUAUCAUAUUACUUCUUCGUAUAUUCUUCUCUCUUUGACGGAAGUACGACAUGCAAUGCCCAGUGGCACAGCCGACAAUUUUCCUUAACAGCUACGGCGGGAAUUGAACCCGCGCUCCUCAGCACGAUGCGACUAAGAGCUUGGUGACACUAGCCGCACGACUAUGAAGCCACAAGUUACCCUCAGAAAUGUCCUAUGCGGUUAUCUCAUAGUUGCCAUCAAUUAUUUAAUUAUUUCAACUACAAUUCCUUACGGGAGUUAUUCAUGAAAUCUUGUAGGAGUUCAAGUUUCCAAGAUUGGAAACUCAUCUCUUGUAGUUCCACCUGGAUGCUUUUCAUAUCUGCAAUGCCUAUCUGCCAUCCGGGAAUUUAUAGGAUUUGUUUAGAAUACCUCUCGGAACUCGGAAGUCUUUAUUUAUGUUCUGCAAAAAUCAGGUCGGAUAACAGUGGUAUGUUGACUCUGAAAGAAGAGUGCUUAGUCAGAAAGUCUUAAAAAAAGGUAUCGUAAAAAAUAUUGUUUUUACAUAAUACCUACAAUGUGUGUUUUAAAAUGUACAGUUUUAAUCAGAAUCAAUUCACAUUCUCAUAUUUCUAUAUUUAUAUAUCAAUGUCAGGCGUCCAAGUAACCUUAUAACCGUUUCGACUUAGGCCCCUCUCGGGCCUCCUCGGGAUUCCAACUACGCCCAUGUUCAAAACCAUCAACUUAGAAAGUUUUCAAAGCAAAUUUAAUUUCUGAAUGUGUUACCUGUACAAUGUACACAUGUUUAUGCAGACAGAUCCUUGAGCCAGAUCAAGAGAUGUUAUCAGCACAAAAACUUCGUUUUCCAAGAACGCCGUACAUACGGUAUAACAUUUGAGUUAAAAUUGAGAUGAGACACUUCAGCGGGCGGCCCCACAAUUUAGGCCUUUUCACCGGAGCCAGAGUUUCCAUUCCAGGAAAAACCUACAGCCAUCCACCACAGCAGUGUGUCACCAUCGACACGUACGGUUUACCACAGAGAACCCACCGCCAGCCGCACCGAAAGGCAAAAACAAUGCUACCCACACACCAUAGCUGGCCUCUGCCAGCACAGGUUUUCCAUCGGAGCAAUUACGCCAAUAGGGCAUCUAAUUUUCCUCUCGCGUCCAUUUCAUAUCUUCUGCUUCGCAAUCCGGCGUUGUAAACGGCGGUGGUGGCGCUCAUCGCCGUGUUUCUUUCAAUCGUCAUCCGUCGUCGUCGUCGGGAUUCACUCUCUUCGCAACAAUUUAGGUAUGUACCUACUGUGAUCCGGCGGGCGACUCUCAGCUCCGUUCAGCAGCAACGCACACAACUCCCACUGCGCUGGCCGUGGCGGGAGGGUGAGUUCCUUUUUUGCGUCCGAACCGAAUCAGCAGCGACAUGCAGGCAGAGGGUUUUGUCCCCUUUUCGGAGUUUUGCUACCCUUGAACUUGAGAUUUCGGGUAUCAUUCACCUCCCGUCCCGUUCGUCGUCGUCCGCGUCGUCAUCAUCAUACCGCACCGGUUCUCGUAUAGAUUGUGCUAGGUGUGUAUCUUUGAGGGAAAACUUGGAGGAAAUGGUGAAAAUACGAGGUGAAUCCACUCGUCGUCGGAGGAUGUUGUGCCAGUUAGGAGGUGGCGAACUUUGUGCGAUAGGCGAUUAGAUUGGAUGGGAUUUUGUGCGGGUUAUUGGGGUAUCGAUUGCUUUGCGGGAGCUUUUAAUUAUCCGGAUGUGUGGGAAGAGGAUUAGUUGGGGGAAAUGGAAGGUCUCAUGUGUGACUAGGUACAAAUAAUAAAGGAAUUAACCUCGAGGAAAAUCGAUUCCGACCUUCUGGUCUAGGAUGGCUUUGUUCAGCUUCGGCGUAGGCCAUCCUGAUUGAACAAAGAACCCACAAUCCAAUAAAGGUGGAUCGCAAGCGAAAACAAAAAUCGAGAACCCCUGACAGAGAAGGAAAAUCACGAAGAAAGCGAUGAUGUAAUAAUUUCCAGUGCCUUCCGCCACUAAUCCAUAGGCAACUGAACUAGGUUACGACCGACACGAACUCACAGGGGGUAACGAAGAAGGCUGUGUUUUAUGUUGAUCACUCAUUCAGGACACUGUCAACGAUGAGUCAGGCAGGCAGGACGACGACGACGGCGACGCGACGCAGGCGAUGGCAUAGAUUUUCUUUGUGUUCGAUAUCGGCUGUUGCUGCCGAAGAAGCGAUGAUGAAAAAGUGAACCGCGAAAAAUGGGAAACGAUUUUCGCUAAAUGAGGCACGUGGGUGGAAUUGUUAAAAUUAAUCCCGUUUGGGCUUUGUGUGUUUCAAUUUUUCCGGGUGCAACUGAAGCGAUUAGACUGCGGCUUCAGACCUGCGGCUAGCGGCGUCAGUCGUAUGGUGCCACGGAAGAAGGGUUCGAUUCCCGCUCCAGUCGGGACCAACUUCCAUCACAACGGGCGAUUGCGCGGAUUCAUUUCCAUUCAUGCGCUCAGUGUUUACUAUUUGUACUGAGCUAGAAACUCCCGGUAAGAAUCCAAGGUUCAAUCGGACCAUACCGGUGGUGUGCGUUCAACAACGCGAAGAGCGACGAAUGAGUGAGUGAGUGAGUAGUAGAACAGAAUAAGCAGCCAUUCGGCGUAGUCGCCCGGCUGCUUCGGAAGGGGCCUCCGGUUUUUGCUUGUUGUUGAACGUCAUAAAAAGCACGUGCUGGAGCGAUUCCGACAGAUAGGACCCGCGCGCCACAAUGCGGAUCAUUCAUGAGAAACACUUCUGGGAAGGAAUAGCCGAUUGACGGACGGGUGCGAGCGAGCAGCUGUUGGUUGCGGGCCGAAGUGCCCGGCCGGCCUUGGCCCGAGUAAACCCUUUUUGCCGGGCCUAUUAACGAGGGGUUGUCGUUUCUCGCGGUGGUAAUCCUAGGCUCCGUUCGUCUGUCAGUCGCGGCGGCUCUUUGAAAUAUGAUCUUCGCCCGCCCGGUGACCGUGGGCCUCAAGAUGUAACUUAUGCGCUGAUGUGUGGGGCCUCGGAAAUGAAUUAUAAUUGGAGGGUUUUGUUGCUCGAUGCGGGGAGAUACUAAUUGGAGGGUGAGAAUUCCGAUGGGGACCCCUUUUUUGAUAAAGGUUUGAGUAUGGGAAAACGGCUUUGCCGCAGUUGACUCGAUCAAACAUCUUGCAUCUAGAGCAGUCCGACAGAUCAUCUGCCGAAUCUAGUUCGAGGUUCGAGCAGUAGCGCCACAUAUGGCAAGCCUGAUGGCUUUCGAUUCGCCUUGACAACCUAAGCAUUCGCGUUAAGCCGGCCGCACAGGCAUUCGUUGGUAAUUAUGGCGACACUGACUGUGUGUUAAACGCCGCCGCUGCCGGUCCGAAGAAUUUCAUCCAAAUGGAGACAAAAAGGUCGCCUCAAUAAAUAAUCGUGUUUGAUCUUGUUUCGCUGCUGCUAGACGAAAAAAAGCACGCCUGAUCUUAUUCUGUUCUAUUUUUUUCGGAGAAUCCCCGCGUCGCGUAAUCUUCGUUUCCAACCGUUCGUUUCCCCGCUUGCACAACCCGUUUCGAUGCACGUUCGACCCGGCGACACAAUUCUCUUGCAUCAUACGUAUAAGCGCAGCGCAUGCUUCAAAUGAUCGUCCCGCACCGCACUCCGCCACCUAACCUAUUUCAAUUGUUUGCCGAUUCUUCUUUUUUCGGCAGCGUUCUUUUGUCAUUUGUGUAUUUAUUUGGCAGGCAGCAACUCCUAUAAUUGAAUUAUUAUGCAAAACGCCGCGCACUGGUCCGAUUACUACUACAUGCUGCAGUCGUUGAGGGGCAACCUUAUCUACAGUUGACAUUCGAUGGGUGCAACUUGUUUGCGUUUCAGUUGACAGACGUCAAAAUGCGUCACAAAGCAGCUGAAGUGCAUCGCAACUCAGUUGACAUUAAGUUUUUGGUACAUCCCGAUGCGAUGAUGACAAGUUUGUUGCACUUAUCGAACGUCUACUGUACCCCACUACUGAACACUCUGAACUUCAGAGUCUGAUCCACAAUCGCCGCAUGUGACGGCGGCGACGGUAUCGCAAGAUCAUCCACUGCCCGAGGGGUGGAUCGCGAAUCUAUUGUUUAACGUGUGGUCGGACGGAGCGAGGGACGAGACAACAGCGCGGCCAUGUCGCACCGAAUUUUCGAAAAUUAAUGUUCAAUAAUGAGCACGUGACUUCGGGUCCAGGGAAGGAUCGACUCGAGUCGACACUGACAAACGACGACGCUGUUUGAAAACAAAUUAAGGUGCAACGGUGCGAUUGUGUUCGGAUGACAAACAAUCGAUUGUCUCUGAAGUUGGCGUGGUGCAGGAUUGGUCUGAGCUUGUUAGUUCGACGUGAAUGUGUUGUAAUUAGGAGUUAUUGGUGGUGCUAAUGAUCGAGCUGCUGCUUCCCCGGGUGAUCGCAACUCAGGUUGCGGUGGGAAGGUGCGAGAUCUAUUAACUGAUAGAUCCGGACUGCAAGCGACGGGGAAGUGAGAAAUUCACAGCUAAACAAAUGCUUUUAGCGAGUGUGAUGGAUGUAGUGGGAGUGAUUUUAAACUAUUUGCGAGUAAUUUCCGUCAAGGUCAUUAAGCUUGUCGUUCAGGUGUCAACUUGAAAUUAUUUUUUUCAGUAGUUAAUCUUCGUGGGAGUGUGGUAUGGUUUGAUAACUUUGGUCAUGGAUUGACGAACAUUUCGGCCUUUCGCGAUUGUUAGGGCAACACGGCCUCAAUGGAGUUCUCCGAAGGGCUCAAAGCUGGCAGCCAUGCUUUUCCCAAUCUCAAUGGGCGGCCUUUUUGCCCUCCUACUACUGAAUGUCUACGUUUUCAUAUACGCGGAUGGUUCUGGUAACGAGCCUGUUUCUAGGCCCAAGCUCCGGACAACGCAGUCACGAAGUGGGCCGAAUCGAUGGAUUUCACUCUAUCGGCUACAAAGAGUAUCAGGGGACACGCCUGCAGGUACAAACACCAGCUUGGCAGCCCGACCGUCACCAUCUACGGGCAAAGAAUUUCGAGCCGAAAAGCUGUGAAGAUCCUCGAAAUUCCGGGAGACCUUCAAUAGCGUCAAGGCAACUGUAAAACCCGCUUAUAUUUGAUCAAGACCAUCUCCAAAACGCCCCGGUCAAACAACCGACAUUUUUGACUAGGUACAUGUCGUUAGAGCCACAGUGAACAACCGGUUCUUCUACAGACUUGAAACCACGAGCAUUUCCUGAGUUCUGUCAGGAGUCACGCUCGUGCAAAGGUACAUCAAUUACUUCCGAAGGGUUCCCGGACUACUUCCAUCCACACCAGCCGAUUCUACAUGUGCCGAGCUAGAAACGCUACCCUUCCGUCUAAAGUUAAUGCAAAGGCGCGGCUUUCAAGGCGGACCGAAUCUUGCGCACGGUUUUCAGCGCCAGUACUCCGACGCUCACGUAAUAGCGACAUCUCAGUUGCGCUUAGAUCUGCCGUUAUAAAACUAAUCAGCAUCCGAUAAUCCAACCAUGAAUCCCAUCACAUUGACGAUUCUAUCCUCAACCAGAGAGUUGACCGUGUAGUACAUGGACCAGGAAUGGUAGUUCGGCUAAACAGCCAAAGCACCAAGCUGUUUCGAAACGCAUUGACACUCUGCGAGGUGCCUGGGCCUCCAGGGUUCCUCAACUCGAGCUGUAAGUCCCAACUCUUCCUCUACGAUGUUCUUCCGAUAACGUACACCACCGCUGGCUCUCCAGGUACUUUCUGCGUGUCGUCUCGGAAACCCGGGCUGUAAGUCCUAGUUCUGCGCCUUCUAGUAGAAAGGAGGAGCCUCGUGGCCGUGCGAAUAGCGUCACCAAGCGGCACCAUGCCAAGGGGUGAGGGUUUGAUUCCCGCUCCAAGUGAUGAAACUUUUCGUAUUAAUUUGUGCUCGUAAUAUGUGUCGUGUAUGUUGUCUAGUGUUAAGUCUCAAGCCAGUAUAUACUGCCUUUGGUUAACCCUCGAGCGAUCGCGCUGUUGUAUUUUGUACAACACGUUGCAAAAAUCUCGCUUUUUGUACUCAGCAUUAGCGUAGUGUUGGUGGGGGUGACCGUGUCUUUUAAAGAAACGUUGUGCAACAAAUCCUGGAGCGCUAAAGCACAGGCCGGGGCUGCCAGUUACCCACUCCACCAACAAACUAGUAACUUGUGAAACUCCAGCGGUUAUGUGUAAUAACUUCCAAACCUCCAGCCACUAGUACUUGAUUCUGUUAGUAACUUCCAAGAAUCUUGUACAAGUUACUUUCCUGGACUUCCGCUACUUACCCUCCAGUCCUGUGAGCAGAGAAUGGCAGUUCCGUCCUGUGGCAUGCUACUGACAGCAAAGCUCGUCUCUUGGACGAUCACCAUAUUCAGGUCGCAAAAGCAUCAUACGAUACCGACUCCUAAGUAGCCCAACUGCAAGCUGAAAUGCCUCUCUAGCGAAGUCCUGUACCUUUCCUGUCAUUGGUGUACCCACUCAAGGGCACCAGGGGUAGGGCAUUAACACAGUCUGCUCCUGCAUGCAAAGCCUGGGAGCCUCUGCCUCUGCCUCUGCAAGUUGUACUCCCAAAAUGUGUCUAGGAUGUUCCGUAGAAUGAGCAUUUGCUGCCUGCACUUGCUUGUUUCCAUGCUUCUUCCAUCUGUCUGUUUCCACUGUUUUGCCUGCACUAGUGCAGGCUUGCACCGCGAGUUACUGACCGUUGCAUAAAACCUUCGCAUAUCAUUUCGAUCAACUAUCGACCAGAACGUGGUCUAUCUAGGAGCAAAUGUCACCACUUGAGUGUUACAGGUUUGGGAUUAGGAUAUUCUUACGUGUGUAAUACAUAGUACAAUUCUUCCAUCAUCUUCUCUGGCCAUUACCGUUAGUAACGAAAUGAAGUUUUCCGAAUCGUUGAAUGAAAAUUUCUCGCCAGACCUGCGCAUCUUCGAGAACUAAAUUUGGAGAAAUAAGAAAUACACGUUAUUGUCGCUAGGUGAUCAUAUGCAUAUUUUCGAUCUAACAUAGAUAGAAUCGAUCUCCGCUUCGCCUAACGUUUCGCUCUUGAACCCACUCAAAACUAGUUCAAGCCGAUUCCCUUCAAGGCUUCCUUCGAGCUAAAUCCACCUAGUCCUUCCUUAUUCUGAAACCAGUCCGGGGCAUUUGUAGCCGUCAUCACGGUCACCACCGGUUGCAGUAUGUAGACAGAGGUACGCGGCUAACAACCGCAACCAUCAAGACUACAAUCGAUCAUCGUCACACCACCGCACCGCUACUGACUACUGCUGUUUGCAAUGGUAGUGAGUGGCACAGAUCGAGCAUGUGGGGAGUCUGUCUAAUUUGCACGCGGUGAUCCCUUCAUCACGGUGUGUCUGGUAGAACAAAAUUAAUUUAAAAAAAUCGGUAUCGCUAAAACACCCACCAAACGAAAGCUGAAGGUCCUCUCUUUCAUUUGAGACUAAAAGGAGAAAGUUCUAUCGGCGGGUCUACCCGAGCAGAAGGGAAUAGCAACAGCAUAAUAGAAUGUGUUAUUCUGGAAAAAUAACUGAGUAACGGAAAGAGUUAUUUCCAUGUUAUUUACAUAACAUAUCCUGUUAUAAACUUGUCUGUCAUAAGCGGCAAAAUAACAAAAAUUAUAACAAAAAAAUGUUCGUGGAAGACCUGUUUAAUAACAUGUUUUGUUAGUUUCAAUAACAACUUAACAGCGAAUUUUUAAAAUAUUUCAAUAACAUAUUUUGAUAUGAAUAAGUUAUUGAUAACAAUCUGAAAACAAAAUUUGCUUUUUUCUGUUGCGGAUAGGAACUCCUCCAAAGUCCUAUAUGAAUUCAAUGGGAUACGCAAUAAUAGGAUCUAUUGUUAAAUGUUUCAUUCAUAAUUGGGACGCUAUUGUUGUCGCAAGUGAUUUAUUAUCGAAAACAGAGACAACAAUAGUUUUCGUUUAUUUUCCAAACAACUUAAGGUGAAAAACUACCGACGUUUUGGAGCCCUUUAUUAGGUGGUUCAUCGUUUAUAAGAUUAAUUUACAUUAUUACCUCAUUGAUUGACACAUUUAUCCAAGUGAAUCUCUGGGGUCGAUGCAGUGAAAUCAAUAACAAUAAAAUGUGUCAAAAAUAAUCAAUAGAGUUCUUCUUCUUGAUGACUUAUUUGUUUACAUUUUUGUCGAAAAUGUGUUGUUCGUCCUUGAAUUCCACCAGUUGAUCCAAAAUGUUUCAUAAAAUGGCUAACACUCUAUUACACUUUCUAUAUAUACCUAACUGAAACUGGGACAAAAAAACAGGUAUACUUUUCAAAGUGCUUAUAAAACAAAAGGCUGAUAAAUUGGCUCUGUCACAGUUAAAACGUAAUGUCAGUAAGAAGAUGAACUGAUGACAAAAUAAUAUUUUCUCUUACAGUUCCUCACGGAAUGAUGUGAACAACGAAAAUCUCGAAUUGUGUAGUUUUGAUUGCAAAGCUAGUUAUGUUGUAAUAUUAAUGAUCAAAUAUUUAUAAGUCUCAAUGACACAAUAAUAACUGAACUUGUGCUACAACAAAACAUGUUAUUGAAAUGUAGUUUAAAGAAAAUAUACCAAGAGCACGAUCAUAACAAAAUAAGAUUGCCCAACAGAACAUGUUAUGGAACGGUGAUGACUUAAUAAGUUAAUAAUAACAAACCGAGAUAUAAAAACAGGUUUUGUGAUUCCGUUGUUAUUAUUUUGAUAUUUUCCUCUGCUCGGGUAGAACAAUUUUUUUUUUUCAAAUAUUUCUAUCUUUGAGGCUUGUGUUUUUUUUUCUCAACCUUGAUUGUAGCCAAAUGGGCUUGUAGGAGGUCGCCCAUUAGUAACGUGUCCUUUUAAAAGAGUAAACGGGUCAAAUCAAAAAUCAAACAUUUUCCUUACAAAAUAUUGCUUAGACAUAAAGUGCAAAAAAAUAUUUAAGGCAGUUGAAUAGAAUUUCAGCAGUAUCUGGGCAUAUAUACAAAUAAACUUCGCCUUUUAUGUGCGGCUGCAAUUUUCUUAUUUUUUAUUGACAGUGUCUUAUGAUUUAACAGUUUUACGAUCAAAGUAGGCCGAGUAAUGCCAACAAAAAUAGAACAUACAUCAAAGUAGCUCGGAUAACGGGGCACAACAUUUGGAAGGUAAUUCAUUUCAGAAAACUGAAAGUUUUUUGAUGAUGCAAUUUAAAUCGUUCAAAUGAAUAAAACGAUCUAGAACUCCUCACCAAUUUUAUCAAUGUGAUGGUCUGUCUUAUAUCCUUGUAUGCCGUGGCUCGGAUACAAUUAUCACAUGCCAGUAUUUGUUCAAUUUGUGCACCUUUAUGGUACCUAAGACUUAAACAUUUUUAGUUAAUUUAGACUAUUGCAGUUAGGUAUAGCUCCUUACUUUUAAAGAAACAACUACGACAAGAACCCCCUAAGUGACGAGGAAAACCAAACCAAAGAGUACGUUUUGUGUUUGAAGAAGUGUUUUUCCGCCACAAUUAUCAUCGAAAGCAGUUAAUAUUCACUGUUUUAGAUUUGUUUAGUAAAAUUGUCUAAUAACGGAUAAUUAGACAUAAAAAAUAUUAGUAACAGUAUAUCUUUGUGAACAGGUAGCCUUACUCAACUGACAAAUCAGAAUAAUGAAUGCUAUAUGUCUAACGGUAUAUGUAGUAAGAACAAUGUGCUAAUCUGUCGGUUAUCAAUAGUUUGAUCUUUUGCUAUUUUUUUUUAAUCUGUAUUAACGAGAUGUUUAGCCCUUGGCUAGUUCAUCUCGGGACCCACACUUCACUUCCCUACCGAAGGAAGAACUCACAUUUUGCGAGUUUGUCGGGAAUGGGACUCGAUCCCAGGUCCUCGGCGUGAUAGUCAAGUGUUCUAACCAUCACACCAGGUCCGCUCCACAUCUUCUGCUUGCAUCAUGGCAUUAUAGACGAGUUAGCAACUUUUCAUUCAAUUCUACAGCUUUAUUGACAUAUACACAUGUUUUACAUCAAAGUACAUAAGUCUGAGCACAUACAUAUUAAUCAGAACGGAUUGAAAAUGUCUUAACUUGUUCUUGUUUCUACUUGCAGAUUGUUGAUAUUAUGCAAACUUUUUUUCUGAAAGAUAUCAGAGAUAGCAGUUAGUACUAUCUCACAAAAAAGUUCGGACUUGCUCAUUUAAAUUUAUCUCAUUCAAUGGUGGCGAAUAUACCCAUUAGAUUUACUCUCUAUGAGCUUACAUAUUAUUUGAAACCUUCUACAUGGAGUUGCGGCCCUUGUUUGUGAAAUAUGUAGUUCUGCAAGAACUACAACUUCUCAUAAAGGGCAUACGUGACAGAUCUAGGGUAGAAGCGCUACCCAGAAAGAAAUUGCUCGUUGCAGUUGUGUUCUAGAUGCUACAGGAAGAUGAUCAAAGGCAAGCAGCAUGUUUGCACUAAAGCUGAAGUACAUUGAAACUUGUUGAACAUCAUUCAGACUUCUCAUAAAGUUGCUGAGGUUGCCGAAUAUUUGCGGGCAAAACCCAGAGAUUAGGCUGAUCAGAUGAAGCUCUCAAAUAUUCAUGAACUACCAUCCAGAUGGAAACCGGCGUCAACGAGUGACCGAUUUUGUUCACCAAUGAUUUGUUUUUGAUAACGAAAAGUGCCCAUAAAGCCACAGCUGCAAAGGCGUGAGUACCCAGCACAACCAUGCUGAGGAUGACGGGUUCGAUUCCCGGUCAGUCCAGGACCUUUUCGUGAACGAAAUUUCCUCGACUUAAAUGAGCAUGCAGUAUUUUCGUGCAAGUCACACGCUAUACACAUGCAAAAUAGUAAUUGGCAAAAGAAGUUUUUAGUUAAAAACUGUGAAAGUGCUUGUAGGAGAUAAAAUAAGAAAAUUUCAAACAAAUCAAACUAUUUCAUUUAUUUUUAUAACAUCUCCUACAGUGCUCAUAGAACAAGCUAAGAAGCAUGCUUUGUCCCUGUAGGGACGUUUCGCCAAGAAGAAGAAAAAGAAGAAGACGGAAGAAAACAUGUGUCUUGAGUACCAGACGCGCAUUGAAGUUGAGAAGCUGUUUGAGAAGAAUAUAUGACGAAGUCACUCCCCGAAAUUUUAAGAGCACAAAUCUGAAGAACCAAAUGACGGUAUAUGCUGUAAAGGUGGUCGAUUGGUGACCUGCUGGUGCCAGUCAAAAACGAGACCCUAAAGACGUAUACGCAUCUGUCAUAGGAUGCAAACACAUUAUUGGAAUCUAGAUUAGAAUUCAAAGGAACAGCAUAUAACUCGAUUUUAUACUCACUGUUCUAGUACUUUCACCACACUGUCUAUAAACACAAAACUGUCAUCUGCUGGAUUUCCCAUUCACAUGGGACUAUUGUGCUUUUAUGUGAAGAAUAAUAAACAUAAUAUACAAAAUAUAUGGUCGGAAAAUCAUGCUUGCAAUGGAAAAACAGUGUUUUGCCAUAAAUGUGUUCUUCGAAAAAAAUGAAAAAAUAUCAUAUUUUUUCAAAAAAGAAAAAAUGUUCUAGACCCGCCGAUAGAACUUUCUCCUUUAAGUCUCAAAUGAAAGGGGGGACCCUUAGCUUUCGCUUGGUGGGUGUCUUAGCGAUACCGAUUUUUUUAAAUUAAUGUUCUCCACCAGACACACCGUGUCAUGCUAACUUGACUCAGUGGCAGCAGCCAGUGUCAUGAAACAAUGUUGCCUGCCUAUCGAUCUGUCCCCGGCGCGCGACGGUUUAGCAGCAGUUACAAACGAAACAAUUAGUUACCCGGUGCCGUCAAAGUCGACAAUCGUCUACCGACCAACCAGUUUCGAUGCAGAUUGAGUCAUUCGCUGAGUCGCAAAAAUCCGCUGUCGUCGGCGGGCGGGAACAAUUAUGAAUGCCGCCGGAAUGUGGGUUUAUGGAAGGCCCAGAAGAAGGUGUCAAAGACGUCGUGCGGUUGUCCUCCGCAUCCAACCUAGUUGACAAUGGAGUUAAUGCGGAUAGUAAUAAAUUUUAAUGAUUAUUCGGUUUUGCUGUUGUUGGAGCUUUUUUUAUGAUAGCUCAAUGAUUAACAUCUCCGAAUGGGGUUAAUUUGGCGGAGGCUGAUUCGAUGAGCGUAAAGAGCACCUACGAGUACGACGCACUGCAAUGGACGGACAGUCGCCGUUGCGAUGAUCGAGGAAACGUGUUUCCAAGGUCACGGCCAUCCGUCCGUCAUGAAAACCGUUGUUGUUGGCUCACCGAAGCGGUCAAACUCGAUCGAAUUGAAUUCCCAUCCAGCUCACUAAAAACCAUUUAACACAAAUUUUAAUUACCGCUCCACACGUGGCAGAACCGUAAAAAUCGCAUUCUGCCACAUGCUGCUGAUCGUUAAAGCUGUCUCGGCCAACCAACCGAACCGCACAAAACUGUCAAAGAGAGCGCACCGCUGCUGGCUGAUGAUGAACUUCCGCAAACAAAUGGAGAAUGGCGCCCGUUUCACGGGUCUUCUCACGACGCGACGAGCUGAGCUACGCGAGCGUAGCAAAUUCGUGAUCCGAUACAACUUUGUACCCACAAAGCGCCUCGGCAAACCGAGAGCUGCUGCAACGGCAAAUGUCUGACUAGACGACAUUGUCACGUACCGAAAAUUGACUCUUGCUGAUCAACUAAUUAUUCCGGCACAACCAACGGCCAAGCCAGCCCUCGUCAGUCGAUGGAACGCCAGAACAUGGCAAAUACAGUGCUCGACGUCUCGCCAGCACCUCGGGGGGACUCGAGAUUUUCAAUGGUCAAUAAAUUAUCAAAUUAAUUGCGUCGUCCAAGUCGGAGCCGUUUCCUUCUAAGAACUCGAAAUUGAAUAAUGCCAACAAUUAUACACGCGGAUGGGAAUGGUUGAUGACUAGCAGAGCAGCGUGAUCGAUUUGUGGUGUAAGCUUACGAGGGGCUCGUUUCCGUCUUCCAAACACGUACCAUCGUUUAGGAACUGGAACGACGCGAUUGUAAACAAACAUAUACACGGUGCUCCAUUUACCGUUAUUAUAAAAUAAAAUAUACCAUCAAAACCUGUAACGCCAUUCUCUUUAUUUAUCUUUCCUACACCUCUGGACAAAUUUUUAAAAUCAUCGUUGGGCGAAUUUUUGAGUUACGCCCUUUUAAAGGGCCUAACCUCUAAAAAAUCGAGUUUUCUAUAGAAUAACACCACAUUUCAUAACAGAAUCAUGAAUUAAAAUCAUCAGUAACAACAAUUAUCAUGAAUAAUAAUGAAAUUUGAUAGUUUGCAUCCAUAUAAAUAUUGGUGGAGUGCAUUUUGUAUCAAAAUUGGUCAUUACGUUAAUAUACGGUAGGUGUUCUUAGGACCUGUAGAAAGCAAACAUUGCAUCGGUGUAACAAAUUCAAUUUAAAGUAUAGGGUAAAAAAUAUAAUUUGGACAUGUAUAUAAUUUGGACAUGCACGGCAAUGUAUGCCUUGUUCCGGAGAGCUAAUUAAAGUAGAUACUUUAAACUACUCAAUAUCGUUUAGUGGAUCACACAACCCUAUUCCGAUGAAAAUACGCUUAACCAUUACAAAUUUACUUCAAAAUUAUCGAAAAUGUAAAUAGUUUCACUAAAACCCCUCAAAUGCACAGGUAUGCAAGACGACAUACACUUCACAGUCACAUACAAUAUUCACCUCAAAAUCGUUGAAUUAUUAAUUGUAAGAAUUUUAAAAGCCUUAUAGCAAUGAAAAAUGUUCAAUAAAGAAGCAUUAGGCAGAAAAUCUCUUAACAUUCAUCUGGAACGCCUAAAAUAGGUGGUGUCCAAAAUACAUUGCAAGAUUUCUGCUGUAAAUAUAUUUUGGUCAUCUGGCGAACUACACUAAAUUCUUUUUUUACGCGAUCUUUUUUUACGCGGUUUUAUUUUACACGAUUUUUUUUACACGAUUUUCUCGAAAUUACGCGAUGUGUUUUUGGAAAGAUUCUUCUCUCCUGGUCGCAAUUUACUUCCGAUGGGGCUCAAAUUUCUACCAGAGAUCUCUCUUAUCACCCUUGAUACCCUGUCAAAAUUUUAGGAUGAUCCGAUAAAAAAAGUUUUGAAAACUUUUUUUACACGAUUUUUUUUACGCGGAACAAAUAAUCGCGUAAAAACAGAAUUUAGUGUAUAUGGGGAUGCUGGCCAAUUGCAUACUUGGAGGCGUAUUCUGUGGGUCUGGCGAUAUUUCCUUGAUUUUAACAAAAACUAUAAUAGUUAUCAAAAUAGAUGCCUGUUAAGCGGAGAAAUUUGAUUAUUUUCAAGAAAAUAUUUGUUAUUCUUGUAAUCAAACAACAUGGCGGAAACACACACGUCUUUCUACAUUAAAAUUGGCCAAUAUUUGUUAAUUUAUGCUACUUCCAUGAUUUAGCAGUAUUCACGGCUAAACAUUGAAAUAAAUGCCCUGUCCAAAUUAUAUAUACCUGGGGGUGUCCAAAACAUAUACUCGGUGUCCAAAAUGCAAUUCUAACAGGCGAUUGGAAAUUGUGAUUUUCUCAGCUUAAAAUGCUUUCGUUAAGGUUUUUAUCACCAGGAACGCAAAGUACAAUCAUAUUUUAAGCGUAUUAAUAACUUUGCAUAAUAAUCAAUUGCUUUCUAAGGAAGCUAGAAGACGAUUUUUCCAGCGUUGUCCUCAGCCUGUCCAAAAUACAUGAAUUACCCUAUUGUAUUGUAAUUCCAUAUGUCUAUGGAUGUUCAUAUUACCCUCAGUCAAGGCGAUAAUGUUCGCAUGCAUUCAGCACCAACAUUUCAAAAGGGCGUAACUGAUCUUCAACACAAUAUCUUCUCCCAUAGCUGUAGAUCGUAUAUCAUCUUUCCCAGAACACCAACAACCACUAUCGGAAAGAAUUGCAUUUUCUUCGUCCAGUAGUGGUUGUACAUUGCGUCGGAGAGAUAAAGGUUUGGUUUCGCCUUUUUGAAAUGUUAGCACUGAUAUAUUAAAACGUACACUCUCUAUACAUCAAAUCUGAUUUAAAAGCAAUAGUCAAAUAUGGAUUAAAUAAAAAGAAAUAUGUCUGUGUGCCAAACGGCUUAGGUUAGGUAGAAAACCAAUACAUUGAAAGGCCAAAACUCAAAAAGUAGAAAAAGGCUUCAAAUAAUCAAACUUAUUAUGCUGCAUGAAAAUUCGCUCUUUUUUUGAAAUAUGUAGGUAAGACUUUUUGUCCUAACUAAUUUUACUUCCUACAUUGCAAUAAAAAUUAUCGCCCAAAGUUGUGCAAAAAUGUAAAUAGAUAUACGCGGUUGCAUUUAAUCGUUUCGGUAUCUUCUGCGCGGUCAAUCUAAAGCUAUUUUCAGCAGGCCCCUGGCAUGAAUGAAAUUUAUCGUAGCCAACAUCUAACUGCCUUAUACUCAUAUUCGUGCAAAUUGUAACAAGCGUGUAAUCAACAAACGCAGCUUUUGUUUGAUGUUGUGCGCCGCACACGAAAUCACAUUCACAAUGCGUGUUUGUUGGGUUGCUUUAUUCAACUAAUCGCAUGCUCCUCUUACCGUACAUUAAUAUUAAAGCGAGUUUGAAGUGUUUUGUGAUCAUAAGCGGUGGGAAAAAUGAUUCCAAAAACUGAUCAACAAACCAAAAUAAACGUUAAACAAAAAAAUGUUGAUGUUUUCGCAUUUGACAGUGGGCGCUAUUUAUUAGCGCCCAGGACAUCCUGUCUACCAUGAUUCCAAUGCAUUGAUAUAGGCCGUGUCAGGGGCCUGAUUUUCAGCAAUUAUUGUAGACAGGCUUGAUAAUCCUCCUCGAAAUCAAAAGAGUUUUGCAAAAUGCUCUAGAGUGGUGUUUUGCUUUUGCCUCGUCGCGAGGGAGCGAACGAACCCCAAACAGAGAGGCAAUAAAAACUGAGCGAGGAAGAGGGGAACGAAAAAAGAGCCGAUGAUUAUUUUGGGUUUUUGAGUGCGAUUUUCGCCUCGAGAGUCUUCCUUUGUACGGGAGUGGAACUCGCGAGAGCUUUUUGAGUGUGAGUGGACGUGAGAAACAGAACAAGCAAUUAUGAGUAUUGGACGAACUCCUCGCUGCGCGGCAAGCUCGCGCUCGGUGCUGUUGAGGAUUUGCGUUGUGAUUUCUGAGUUUUAUUUUCACUCCUCAGAAAAUCGCCGAAAUCGCUUACUCAUUUUCUCGCGAGGGAGUUUAUGUCAAGCCGGAUUGUAGAAGACACGAACACGAUAUGAUGUACUGACGACGAUCUUUUAGUGAUUUUAAACAUUUUUGCGCGAUAAUCUUCAGCGAACUGCGCAAUAUUGCCUUUCGAUUUUUUUUUUCAUUUCUACGUUUUGUCAUCUCAGCCUCAGCAUUUUAAAAGGGCGUAACUGCUUGCAACAGCAACAUCUUUUUUUUUUCAAAGCAGUGGCGUGGCACUUCUAGACGAAAAGAAUGCUCCUCUUUCGAUGGUUUACAUUAGAGGGGUGACAUGCAAUCUACAUUCAUAGAAGAAGAUGCCGUAUCAAAAAGCAGUUACGCCCUUCUGAAAUGCUGAGGCUGAGAUGAAGACAAAUCGUACAAAUGAAAAAAAAUGGAAGACAAUAGGUCGAAGAAAAGUAAAAUUAGCAAGGGCAAAAGGUUUUAAAAGAAGAAAAAAAUUCAUCCAGCAUACUAUGUUUGAUUAUUUAUUGCCUGUUCUGACCUUUCGUCGUUUGGCCUUUCGAUAUUUUGGUUUUCAAUUCUUAUAACUUAAGAUAUUUUGCACAGAGACAUAUUUCUUUUUGUUUAAUUUGUGGUUGUCCAUGUCCAUGUUUGACUAUUGUUUUUAAAGCAAAUUUGCUGUGUAGAGAGUGCACGCUUUAUCGGAGCUAACAUUUCAAAAAGGCGAAACUGCUUGCCGAAAUCAAGCCUUUAUCUCUCCGACGCAAUGUACAACCACUACUGGACGAAGAAAAUCCAAUUCUUUCCAAUAGAGGAUGUUGGUGUCCUGGGAAAGAAGAGAUACGAUCUACAGCUAUGGGAGAAGAUAUUGUGUUGAAGAUCAGUUACGUCCUUUUGAAAUGUUGGUACUAUUAUGUAUGUGAAUACUAUCGCCUUGACUGAGGGUAAUAUGAACAUCUAUAGACAAAUGAAAUAACAAUACAAUAUACUUUUAAUUGAAUUUGUUACAUCGAUGUAAUGUUUGCUUUCUACAGGUCCUACUCCUAAGAUCACCUACCGUAUAUUGACGUAAUGAACAAUUUUGAUACAAAAUGCACUCCACCGGUAUUUAUAUGGAUGCGAACUACCAAAUUUCAUUAUUAUUCAUGAUAAUUGUUGUUACUGAUGAUUUUAAUUCAUGAUUCUGUUAUGAAAUGUGGUGUUAUUCUAUAGGAAACUCGAUUUUUUAGAGGUUAGGCCCUUUAAAAGGGCGUAACUAAAAAACUCGCCCAACGAUGAUUUUAAAAAUUUGUCCAGAGGUGUAGGAUGGAUAAAUAAAGAGGAUGGCGUUUCAGGUUUUGAUGGUAUAUUUUAUUUUAUAAUAACGGUAAAUGGAACACCGUGAUAUACGGUUCGGGCGCGCGGUCCGAGUUUCGUGAUAAAACCGGGCCUUCCACUCCCGCCUUCUGGACACGACACGGGACACAUUGGAUCGCUACGGUUCGAGUCGAAAUGUGUGUAUUUAGAUUAGAAACACGACUCGCGCGCCCUAAGUAUUCGAUUCGCGCGCGCGUUCUAUCAUCGUGAAUGAGUUUGAUUGUUCUCGCGCCUAGAAGAGUUUUCGUCCGUCAAAGAUGAUCAUGUCCAGGCGUGCUCACCGCCGGGACGGAUCGGGUCCGCUGCUGAUGGUGUGAUGGCUGUUCGCUAAGCUCAGCUUUUAUGUGAUUGUUUACUUUCCGGGGGAAGCAAUCCGAUGCUGAAUGGAGUUCUUUUUUUGUUGGGGGAUGUAGGUAGGUAGCGUGUACGGAACAGGCGGAGGUUACAUCAUCUGAUGUCAGGCCUUAGGUCCGAUGGAAGGGUGCUCGCGAUUCAGAUAUUGGAACGCUGAUUUAUGUGGACAGACUUAUGUUAAAAGGGUCAUUAGGGCGAACAUGAUACAAAGUUUGAAAAAGAUUUUUUGUUGCCUGCUGGAAGUGCUGGUUCUUGGAACACACUUGGAAACAUUAUCUUUCAAAUCAAAAUAUCGUGAGUGGCUGUGUAUACUUACCGUCACUGGUAAACUCCCAUGGGGGUGCAGAGUGUAGUACUGGUUGAUUACCUGCUAUAACCUGGCUUGGUGCAUACACCACAAUUAUCUGUUAAAGAAAGGCUACUGCCGUUAAGUGGUCUCGAUUGAUACACACCAGGUUUCACUGGCGUACAAGAGCAAUGAUUUGCCACAUGCUCUUUCGUUUCUCCUACAAAUUGCACUUUCUACAGCGGUCUUCCACGUCUUCGUGCUAUAUGUACAGGUGGUGAUUCUGCGUUGGAAUAACCCGAUCCUGGAUGGCUACCGUGGAACCCAGACUCGGAUUAAGGAUUGUGAGAGCCCGGGGCCGGAAGUGAUGUAGAGGCCCCUCGGAGGUAUAAAUGCGGUGAACAAAAAAGUAUUUCUUUGUUUUUGAACAGUACUUUAGCAAAAUGCCCCCAGGCCCCCUGGGCUCACUCUUAGAUCCGGCCCUGGUGGAACCACAUAGUGGAACUUUCUGUUAAUACAUUCAGUGACGAUUUUGGCAGCGGACGUGCUGACGCUUCUUCCUGCUACUGCGCGUCGAAGGAUGACUUCCCCCUGGCGAACGCCAAUCGUACAGCGUCUCAAGCCUCGUCUUAGUUGACUUUACAACCCCAAAGCUGUAAGGUCAACAAAAGUGCAGCAAACGUGUUGCUCGCUUUUAUUUUGCUGUUGACUGAUAGAAAGCUCCUUAGAACACAUUUGAUGCAAGAACUUGUAUUAAAUCUCAUUCUCGAUCGUUAUGUUGUGAAUACCUCUAAGUUGCAGGAAGUCGAGGCUUCAAUCAUAUUUCGAAUUUCCUCCAGAUAGCAACCACUACUUUACCCGGCAAAGAUGGAUUGACCGGCAUUUGUCAAUUCUGAACUCCAUCUGGAUGUUAUUGCGCACGUUGCAACUGUUGAUGCAGCCUCUGUACAGAUUCCGCAAACAGCUUCAGGUCGUCCAGCUUCAGGUGUGGGUAAUUCAUAUGCUCUUUCUCCAACUUUUCCAAUUGGUAGUGGAUCAGCUUAUGACCCUCGUCCCAGACGGAGACUAACCUAAGUCUCAAGCAGCUGGUUACAGCCACGGCCGCUUGCGGAGUGAGCACUCAUGGCCAGCUUUUGAUCACUCUGGCCCCAGGGUUCCCGGGUAGAAGGGUAGUCUCGGACGGUGCUGAAGCUAUGCACAACAACUGCAAAAAUUUACCUUAAUUUUGUAUUCGGGUGGUUCAGAUGAUGAUAUGUAUGUGGGAUGUUUAAUAUGCUGUCAAAGCGGUCUGCGAGCGAUCAGAGCACAUAUCGGAACGAACAGGGAGCAGCCGAAACGCGCCAGGGAAGUCACAAGCGUGCGGUCGUAGAUAGCUUGUUGCGCCGUAGGUGAGUAGGUAGCUACCGGGACACGGGCAGCGGCCCAAUCAUGGCACUUGGUCGUAGACCUAGGAACACAGCCGGAGAGCGACUGAUGUAUUCAUGGAGAGCAUCUGGGAUACAGCCGGCAAGCCGCGCUGAUGAUGAGCGGCGAGCCGAACGUGGCAUAGCCGCCGAGUAGCUCUUGGGCGGCCGGAGAGGCAGUCCUAGGGGUAUUCGAAUGGCGUAGCAGUCUGCUGUUGAGAUGUCGGUUAGGGAAGUUUAGACGAAAAAGCCUCUCCUUACCCACGGCGGAGGAGGGGGAGGGUUGCUGAGGGAUGGUUUGACGAGUCCAAUGGAGUAUUCGCCCUGCGCCGUAACUAUACGACACCAAAAAUCUCAUUAAUCGCCUCUUUCCUCGUGGGCAGGUGUUCUUCGAAUCUCUUUUUCAGCAGUGUUUUCCCUCUCUUUUACGUUAUUUUUCCUUCUCUUGCGUUCCACAGUUCCACAAUCGCAUCGCAGCCGACUUAAAUUAGUAUUAGUUUCACAACAGUCAUAGUGGCAUUUGUUGAGUGAUCUUCAGAGGGGGUUCAUGGAAAUGCUGAAACACAGCGAACAAAAGGCAUCGCCUUUAUUCUCCUCCUGAUGCUGAGAGUUCUGGACCGCAACACAGUUGUUCCAUCGGUAAUUUGUCUCGACGUGCUGCACAUCCCCAUCGCUUGUUUCAUUGACCUGAUCACGUUCAGAUCUGUUUUGUACAGUUUCUUGAGUGGUACGGGAAGGUGCGAGUGCGGUACUUAGUUCUACGCCUUUUAGCAGUCGAUGUACGCCAUGCUCAGGUUCCUCUACUUUUCGGUAACUUGAUCGGUAAUGUCUCCAACUCCAUUGCACUGUCGCUCUUCGUUUCAGUCACAUCCUAUCGUUGCAAUGUUGGACAUGGUUUUCCAAUAGAUUGGCAUAGAACUGUGUGACGUUACUAAUCUCUGCCUAUUUCAGAUGCUCUCUGCAAAAUCCUUACCGCUUCUACUAUCUGGACCCUUUUUGGUCACAUUCUCGAUUUUUUUAAGUCAUUCACAUUUUUCCCGUGAAAAAAAAAACUCCAUAUUCGUUCCUUUCCAUAUCCAUUCCCUCCGAAGAAGACAUUCGUCUUCCUAGGAGGAAGCGUCGUCGUAGACCACCAGAACCAGAAACUCCAGCUGGCCAUCAUAAAGUGUAAUUAAGCGGCCAUUAACACACAGAGAGAAGCACACACCACACCAGCCCGCAGCCAGCAGCAGUCUGUGUGUAGGUAUCUACGUCUACCAGACCAGCGAAUACACCGAAUCAUCACCCAAAACUUGCAACUUUUCGUUCUUCUUGAUUUUCGCGCUGCCCGGCUAAAUAGCAUCGUUGCGUUGCGUUGGGUCGGGUGGGUGGUCACCAGUGUUGCCACAGGUACAGAUUAUUCUGUAAAAGUACAGAUUUUUUUCAACUUUUCGGUACAGAUUCUGUACGGUACAGAUUACAGAUUUUCAGCAAAAAGUACAGAAUGGUACAGAUUUUUUGAAAUUGAGAAAAAAUCAUUGAAAUUCAAAUUUAAAACAUUUUUAAUACUGAUAUUUUUGUUUUUAUAGUUCAGAAAUUAGUAUCAUUAAACUCAAUUUAACCCUUCAGCGCGCGCGCCGUUGUAAAAAGUACAACACUACCAAAAACCCUCGCUCGUCGUAUACAGCGCGUGCGCGGUGCAGUUCCAGCUGCUUGAUGGUGCGCGUCCUGGAAGGUUAAGUGUUUUUCAUAGUUUAGCCUGAAUGUAAUGCUCUUUUUUUGUGUAUUUUAAACGAUUUUAAAUCAAAUGUGGUACAAAUUUGGUACAGAUUUUGGGUACAGAUUUUUCGAAUGUCUGGUACAGAUAAAAAAGAUUUUUGAGCCUGCGGUACAGAUAAAAAUGUGGCAACACUGGUGGUCACUGCCUUGGAAACACGUCAUAUGCGAGAGAGUGCAACAAUCUACGAUACGAAGUCGGCGAGGCGAGCAGGCGAACAAGCGAGCAAGCGACCGAGCGCAGACACCACCAUCGCACCAGAAUGAAUCUAUUGUUACAAGACCAUUAAUCAUUUGAUUUUCUGUAAUAAAUUUAGCCAUUUUCAAGUUUUUGCAUCGUUUGCCAUGCGGAGCCACCUCUGCCACGCCACCGACAGCUUACGAGCUUCUAUGAGGUGGAAGGUAAGAUGGAAGGCUGUGGUGGGGCAAAAGCUUGUCUGGAACCAUCCCACCGAAAGUGGUGUGUUUCGGUGUGUCUGAAAGAAACCACUUGUCGAGAUGGUUUCUGGAAGGAAAAGUAUUGGGACGUUAUCAAUCAAAGCUCGUACUGUUGAGGAAAGAUUCCGAAACAUUACAGUUCAGUUGUAACGUUGAUUUCGGCAUUUGUGUGGUUCAUUGGUGUACUGUAGAACCAUACUGAGGGUGUCUUGUGUGAUUCUCUCGUAAUUACAUAUGAUUGGUAAACCACGACUAAGGCGGUUGCCUCUGAGUUGUCUAUAUGGAUUCUACUAUUUCCGAAGAUUAUCGGGAAGUUUUCUUGCCUUCGAUAUCUGUUCCACCUUUGGACGCUUACAGACUAUGAAGGAGUUUUAUUCAACAAUACUUUUCUGUGGCACGGUAUCAGGCAUACCAGGAUCAUCUGGAUUGCUACCUAUAUGAGUUGGAUCUAUACGUCUGCUCUCAGCACAGUUUUCUGAAACUCCCCAAGGACCACUGCAGUGGUAGGAGGCAUGUAUUUAGAAGGGUGAUCUGGGAUAACAAUUGGAAGGCGGCAUUCAGAAGAGAUCUUACCUUCUAAUGUGUAGCCUUUCCUAUUGUUCAACUCUUCAGCUUUGCGCUAGCUGUACCGCUAUGCAGAUCCUGGAAAUGCUGAAAACCGCUACAUAAGCUUUAACCCUUAUGUGGCCGACAGGGUACCCGGGUACCCAGCGGCCAGCGCCCAUUUAAAAAGCACGGUGUAGAAAAAAUCAAAAAGUUUGUCGGACACAUAACGGUUAACGACGGUUCAUGGUCGAGCAGAUCGAAUGUUUACUCAUACCUACAUCGAUUUACUACUUGCGAAGCUACAUUUCUAUUCCCAAGUGACCACAAUUGCAGUCAAAUUAUACUACGUAACAGAUGUAGUUUUGCAUGCAGUUGUAGUUCUUCGACAGCUUACGAGUUUCUAUGAGGUGGACUGUAAGACGGAAGGCUGUGGUGCUGUGGUGGGGCAAAAGCUUGUCUGGAACCAUCUCACCGAAAGUGGUGUGUCUGAAAGAAACAACUUGUCGAGAUGGUUUCUGGAAGGAAAAUAUUGGGACGUUAUCAAUCAGGGCUCGUUACUGUUCAGAGAUUUCGGCAUGUGUGAGGUUCAUAGGUGUACUGUAGAACCAUAUUGAGGGUGUCUGGUACUCUGGUGUGGUUCUCUCGUAAUUAUGAUUGGUAAACCACGGCUAAGGCGGUCAUAGGUCAAUGUUGCCUCUGAGCUGUCUAUAUGGAUUCCACUAUCUCCAAAGAUUAUCGGGAAGUUGUCUUGCCUUCGAUAUCUGUUCCACCUUUGGACGCUUACAGACAAUGCUACCUAUGUGAGUUGGAUCUAUACAUCUGUUCUCACCGCAGUUUUCUGCAACUCCCCAAGGAUCACUUUAGUGGUAGGAGGCAUGUAUAGCACUUCGAAGGCAGACAUUCAGAAGGUUGAUCUCGGAUAGCAAUUGGAAGGCGGCAUUCAGUAGAGAUCUUACCUACUAAUUUGUAGCCUUUCCAAUCGUUCAACUUUUCUGCUACGCGCUAGCUGUACCGCUAUUACAGUACAUCCUGGAAAUGCUGAAAACCGCUACAUAAGCUUUAACGACGGUUUAUGUUCGAGCAGUUCGAAUGUUUACAUCGAUUUACUACUUGCGAAGCGACGUUUCUACUCCCAAGUGACCACAAUUGCAGCCGAAUUAUACUACGUAACAGUUGUAGCUUUGCAUGCAGUUUUAGUCUUCCAUGGAAGACCAUGUGGAAGACUAUGGAAGUGUUUCAUAAUCAUUUGGGAAAAACGAUGUCGAGCGGGCGUCACCAAACACCACAUCGCCUCCCACUCUGUUAAGCUCAUUCCAUCAACGUAAGGGUUAAAUCUUCUCCGAGACUUGCUUGACACCUCCAACUGUUAGGGCCGUUCUUUCCUCGGCGAAGGCUACCCAAUGAACGUUUCCAAGUAUCAUGUGUUCUGCUGCAUUCAACUCUGCAGUUGACAAGAAGCUACUAUCAGAACCAGACCCUACAAGGACACUGAAGUAGUUCAAUCUAGCAAUGCUGUCCGUCACAUGAUAUUCGCACAGGUGAUCGUCGUGCGACUUCUCUCUUUCUCUACUGCACCGUUGAGUUUUGCGCUUUCAGCCAAUUCGGACCUUUCCAGAUACCCUGGUCCGCCAAAUUGUCUACUCUAGAUACACCACUCGGUUUGCUACAAAUGUAGUGGAAGAUGCUGCAGUCCACAUCAGAACACACUUUGAAUCCGGCCAGAAUUAGGCUGGAAGCGACAACCUCGUCGAGUCUCUGACCUUCUCGAAUAAUUAUAAGACAGGAAGCGUAUCGCAUUAUUCAAGACUUGGAAUCCUCGGAAGUUUUCUCUUGAAAUUACGCCAAGCCUUACCCACCGUUACUUUGGAGGUACUGGUUGGUCUGAAUCCAAACCUUUGCUAUUUGCGUCUUUUAGCGCAAUAAGAUCGAAAAGGCUAGCUAUCGGCGAUAGGAGUCGGGGUUUAGAGAGUGGGACGUCCAACUUCAGCGAAGGAAAAUCAAAUUGAAAUCGGUGAAUAACAGUUAUUGGCAUCCAAGUCAUUCCGAAAGCUAUUCGAAGUAGGUCAGAAUUUAAUUGGUACUGUAAAGGCUGCGUAUCUUGUGAUACAUACCCCAUUAUUGAGGCCAUUAGUCUCUUCUCAGAAACUCCUAUCUUUAGCUCCUCGUGAUACCGACAGGGCUGCAAGAAACCUUAGGGAUGAUCGGGUAGUAAUCCUCCGUGGAAGUUGUGGUCGCAGGCCGACCUGUGAAAGGGGGUUGUUCUUCAGGUUAGGAGCGGCUUUCAACAGCGUUAGGGAUGACUGAUCAACGUCCAAGUGCCAUUAAAGGACUUCAAGCUCAACUGUACAUCAUGGCCCUCCAGAAGGUUUGAUGAUUAGUAUCAGGCGAGCCAACCGUAACAGCGAAAAGAAAACAUGAAAAUAAUACCAACCAGAUCCAAUGACAACGAUCCCAGCGACGAAGAAAGAACUUGUGUUUUAAAACUCGGUACGGGGAACUGUAGAUCUCCUUACUUCAUCGGGAGCACCCGCAUACUCGCCGGUGUAGUGGAGUACCACGGAUUUGACAUUGUAGCGCUGCAGGAGGUAUGUUUGACAGGAUUAGAACCCAAUUCAAAUCCGUUGGUAUCCUGGAUCGCCAGAUUCUUCGUGGCAACUUCUUCCAAAAUGCUGGAAUAUGACUGUUCUACUUCCUCAACUUGAAAUCGCCCUGUUCCGUCAGUUGAUGUCUCAGACAAAUAACAGUACCAACACCGUUCAUCCUGGUAAUGACAUCAUCUAUGCAUACGUUUUUACGGAAAAAUGGCUUAUUGGUUAGGUGCCAAUUGCAGAAGAGUCCAGGUAGAUGCGAGUUUUGAUCCAUACGUUAUGGUGUUCAACUCAAACACCCUUACUUUUUCAUCGGACAUGAAACGGAAGAGCGUUUUCUCGACAUCUGAUAUGAGGAUGGUCUUUUUCGUCCAAUUCUGCAGAUUUACGGACCCCACAGCUUCCUGAACUACUGGGCCUAUCAGAAAUGCAUUAUUCAAGGACACCCCGGAUGAUGUUUAGACAACACUGACUACAGUGGUGGUACUGACUCCCUUGGCCACCGGAUGAUGAGGUAACUCCAUUCUAGGGAUUACUUAUCGAUAUCUUCGACUUUUGCAUGUGUCACAUAUGCAGGACGACGUACUGCUUUCGCAAGUUCUCUUCCUUUUCCAAUCUUCGUGUCGAUCCAAGUAAACGCCAACAUCAAUUUACCAUGAUUCGUCUAAAUUUGCAAAGAUUCUGAACCUCAAUGGAACCUUUUUGAAACAUAUCUCUACACACUUAAAUUCAGAAAUUGAUCUCGGUAAACGGUUUACCGACAAUCCAACAGCUGAUAUCUCGGUAAAAUAUUUACUGAUUCUCGGUUAAAUUUUUACCGAGAUUUCGGUGAAUUUUGCCGGGAUCUCGGUAAAAAGUUGGAUUACCGAGAUCUCGGCAAAGUUUUAACGACAUCUCGGUAAAACUUUUACCGAGAUUCUGUGAAAAUUAUUACCGGAUUCUCGGCUGUUGGAUUCUCGGCAAUCCGUUUGCUGAGGUCGGCGAUUUAAUUUAAGUGUGUACACAAUUUCUCUUCCAAGGAACAUGAAUUUUGGGAUCCUUGCUCUUUGCAAGACCAAAAGCCUUCGAUCAACCGCUCCAGAUCCGAGGUUGCUCCUAACAUGUCAACAUGGCAGUUGACGUUGGGAUAAGAGUAGUCACUAGAGACUACCCGUCCGAAUACCCAGGGUUGUCGGUAGAAUAUUUCCUAUAUACAGUCUCCGUUCAGUCAUGGAGAACUCGAUGAAAGCAUCGCUGUCAAGAGCCAGGGCGAUUUCUUUGGAAGAGUGCUGGGUCCAUUAGAUGAACUCCAUCUGGUAGGUUCCGCCCUUUCGCUUCCACCUGUAGAAACUGUUGAUAGAUUUAUUGUCUCUUUGAGCACUACCAGGGUUAUUUCAUUUCCCUCGAAAAGUUCGGAGUUCAAGAGCUGUCCUAGCUAUUGCCAGCAUGAUUCUUGAUGACAUCUGAGCAACGUUGCAUGCUGAAAUGUCUGAGGCCUCCACGUUGCUCACUCGGGAGUAGAAUGGGAACUUGUGGAUCCUUGCGAAGCUUGAGAAUUCGUUGGAUGGUUGCCACAGCAAUCGCCAUUGUAACGAUAUCCUGCUCCGCUCUGAAGCAUGUCAAAGUAUGGUGACACUUCUUGCAGAUCCUACAGGAGAACUUAGAUCGGCAAUCCUUCGCUUGAUGAGCUGAUCGUAAGCGCUUCCUGCAAAGUCCCUUGGAUUUCAGCAGUGAACCACUGAUCACAACGGAUAUGUUUUAGAAAUGCGGAACAGUGGUAUAUAACAUAGCUAUACUUGCGAGCUGCAUGGUUCGGCUGAACCGAAUUGUAACUCGUUUUCACUGUUGGGAUGAAGACAAUUGAGGAUGGAACUCUGAGUCCACCGACUUUGGCGUUCCCAAAUGCUAAAACAUCGCUGAAACAUUUCUUCUAUUUUGAACUUUUGCCUUGAUGAACCAUUAAUUUCCACAACAGAAGCCCAAAUCAACACUAGAUACAGCAAUUAAAAUGUAAACAAACAGCACCUUGUUGGCGUUCCUUCCUGCGUUCCUGCGUGGGAAUCGCCGAAAACUACCUUCAACGCAUCGCUAUUAGCCGCUGCUGAUUGGAUCAAAUUAGUGUUAAUUCAAUAAUCGACACUGACCGACACCACACCGGUGGCGGCAGGCUGUUCAAUCAGCGCCGACCGAUUUAUGUCUAGGAGCAGCCUGCCGGUGCCAGCACAGAGCAAUACAGCUGCCGCUGUGCAAAUACAGCGCCACGGCACACGAGCUGAGAAUCGCUAAUAAUUGCGCCAAAUUGGCAACAGUCAAUUCGGUCCCUCCAAUCCAUCCUGGGGGAUCGCAACUAGACCACUAGGUCCGGUCCACGGAACAAGUUCAUGAUUAACCCUCCAUCAGUCGCAUCAAAAAAAGUUACACGAGCGGUCGCGUCGUGUACUCAGUACACGGCAUACGCUUUCAAUUAUGGUUUACAUGCUUUACUAGAUACAAUGUUGGUGUCUUCAGCAAAAAUGUCCAACUGGAUAGUGCGCGUCUGAUAGUGGACAUGUGGAACCGGUCAACACGAUCUGGUCCUGUCCCGGGUGUCGGAAUGGCCCUCGCGGGAACCUGUUUCGUGGACAUUUCAGUUAUGGCACCAAAACUAGGCAUGCGACGGCUCUAUCUUCAUGAUUUUCCAUAUCCAUUAUUUUGGUAACCAUGAAAAUGACCAGUGACCUCCCUGGCCAAUCCGUGGCCACUGGAAUGUGCCCUGGAGGAACCUGUUUCUAGGACAUUUUGACCAUGACACCAAAACUAGGCAUGCGACGGCUCUAUCGUCAUGAUUUUUCAUAACCAUUAUCUUAGUAACCAUGAAAAUGACCAGUGACCUCCCUGACUAACCCGUGGACAUCGGAAUGUGCCCUGGAGGAACCUGUUUCGAGGACAUUUUGACCAUGACACCGAAACAAGGCAUGCGACGGCUCUAUCUUCAUGAUUUUUCAUAUCCAACAUCUUAGUAACCAUGAAAAUGACCAGUGACCUCCCUGGCUAUCCCGUGGCCUCCGGAAUGUGCCCUGGAGGAACCUGUUUCGAGGACAUUUUGACCAUUACACCAAAACUAGGCAUGCGACGGCUCUAUCUUCAUGAUUUUUCAUAUCCAUCAUCUUAGUAACCAUGAACAUGACCAGUGACCUCCCUUGCUAACCCGUGGCCUCCGGAAUGUGCCCUGGAGGAACCUGUUUCGAUGACAUUUUGACCAUGACACCAAAACUAGGCAUGCGACGGCUCUAUCUUCAUAAUUUUUCAUAUCCAACAUCUUAGUAACCAUGAAAAUGACCAGUGACCUCCCUGGCUAACCCGUGGCCACCGGAAUGUGCCCUGGAGGAACCUUUUUCGUGGAUAUUUUGGCUUUGACGCCAAAACUAGGCAUUCCACGGCUCUAGCUUCAUUAUUUUGCAUAUCCAUCAUCUAGGGUAAAUCGCCAAUUGUUACACACCUUAAAAACUCGCCACUUGUUGCACACCUCAUAAGAAAAGCAUGGAGUGUGCAACAAUUAGCGAGGUUCCAAGGUGUGCAAUAACUCUAUAUGAGGCAGUCAUGCUUAUAAUUUCGCUUAUAGCAUGGUGAAUCCGUUAAUUUGAUACAUAUUUGCCUCCCAAAAGCGUUUUUGUAUUGUAUAAAAAUAUGUCCAAUAUAGUUUUGUAAUUUUCGAAUAGAAAGAAAUAAAAAGUAGUUUUUUUUUGCUUCACGGAGCAGUUUAGCGGUUUAGCGAUAUACGAACACUUUCGCAGUUAUAUGACAGUUUUCGGUGUCAGUAAUUUUGUUUAACUGCUAACUGCAACAUGUUUACGUUCCACUUAACGAAUGAAAUUGAGUAACUGCAACGCCUGACAGAUGUCAUAAAGCCAUCAAUUGACGUAAAAUGAACGUAAACUUCAUGCUACUAUUCAUAGGCCAGAGGAACUUACUCACAGCAUCAGUUACUACUGCAUUUCGUUAUAUGAAGAUCCUGCUUUUUCUCUUUGUUUUAUUCAUCCACAUUCAUUUAAUUCCUCCAGCCUAUUAGGGCAAACAUGGCACAUCGUUUUGACGUUUGGCGGUGCGAUAACUCCAAAUUUGUUGAACUUACCGGACUUACAGGUAAAAAGCAUUGCAGUUAAACCGUUUGCACCGACCGAACGUCUACUGUACUUAUUCUUGACAUAUCAUUCCUACUGAAACAUAGCCUUCCAACUCCAAAAUACAUGACAGUAGAUAGCAGUGGAAGCAAAUUCGGUUUCAUGCGAUACUGCGAGUUAUAACGCCGGGGUAAGUCCGCCUAGUCUUAGAAGAACCCUGCAGAAAAUCGCUCAAGAAAUUCUCUGAUAAAUCACUAGAUAAAUUUCAUGAUAAAUUUCUGGCGAAAUUUUGUGAUAUAUCCCACGGAUGAAUUAUUUCGGUGGAAAUAUUUCAAAAGUAUUCUAUUCUUCCUAAAGGAAUUCAUGGAAUAAUCACAUGAAGAAUUUAUGUAGAAAUGCCACGUGAAGUACCAGAGGGAAUUUCUGGAGGGAUUCAAAGCAAACUUCUAGAGGAAUCACAGCGAAAAUCUAUGAAAAAGGGGAAAUUCCUUAAGGAAUCAUUAAAAGAAAUGCUUUGAAAGAAAAUGAGGCAUCCCUUUUACCAAGGGCUGAAAGUCUCUUUAAUAAAGAUAAAUCAAUCAAUGAGGCAUCCCUGGAGUAAUCCAACAGUGUUUCCUGGAACCAGCAAUCUUUGAAUGGGUCUCUGAAGAAAUUCAUGGUGGUUUUUGCCGAUAUCCUGAGUUUUCGGAAGAAAUACCGGUGAAAUCCCUGAAAACAAAAAUUUAGAAAAUAGUUCAAAAUGGGCAGAAUAAGUACCAGCAGGAAUUACUGGGUGAAUCUCAACAAAUACUUAUUGAGCAGGAAGGUAUUAGAGCAUUGCUGGUGUAUGACUGGGAGAAUCCCAGUAGAAAUUUUAAAGGGAAUGGCAGGAUGAAUCCUUGCAAAAAUCUCUGGAAUCCCAUGGGGAAUCCUAGAGAAGCCACAGGGGAAAUUCCUGGAGGAAUCAUAUCGAGAACUUUUGGAGAAAUAGGACAGAUCGGCGAAGUACUAGAUUUGUAGUAAUGAGCUGAAUUUUUGUAUGGUGAGAAAUUCAAUUCUCCGUUUUUGCAAUGAAAUGGUGUAAAAAGCGAGGGUACUAUUAUUCCUUACCUAAUUUGAUGCUGUUUGAGCAAAAAUUUGUGCAACAGUGUUGUUGUUUUCUCCAUUUCUUGCAACAUAAACAACAUAGUUAUCCAUAGUUUUGCUCAAACAGCAUCAAAUUAGGCAAGGAAUAAUUAUACUGCACGCUUUUUGCACCAUGUCAUUGCAGAAACGAAGAAUUGACCUUCUCACCAUACACAAAUUCAGCUCAUUACUACAAGUAGACCUGUGCGCCGCCGUGCCACGCCGCCGCCGCCGACACUUUUUGUCUCACGCCGACGCCGACCGAGGUAUCGGCGGCGCGCCAUACGCCGCUGUUUGUCACGCCGCCGAUUUUCAUUUUUCACGCCGGUGAUCAGCGCACGAACAAAAUUAAGUUUACAUAAAGUUGAGAUAAAAAAAAUCCUACGAUCACUAUCAUAAAAGUUUAAUUACAAUAACUGAUUUCUCAACUCUUAGAACACACAUUCACAUCUCUCCAGAAGUUUUUUCUUCCAGAAGGAUUCAGUGAUGCCUCCGGAAGAUCCUCCUAGGAUUCCUCCAGAAAAUUCCACAGGGAUGCCUCCAAGAUGAUUUUUUUUUAAGAUCUCAGGAAGAUCUCGACAGAUUCAGACAUAACCUCAGAAAUUUAUUUAGAGAAUUCAAAGAUGCCUCCUAGAGAUACAUCAGAGAUUCAUCCAGAAGAAGAUACUUCAGCGAUUCUCAUAGGAGGUCCUUCAGAGAUUAGUCUGAGAGUUCCUCCAUGAAUUCCUUCAGAAGUUCCUUCAGGAGUUCCUACAGGAGUUUCUUUGGGAACUAGUCCAGGAGUUUCCUCAGAGAUACCUCCAGGAGAUCCUUCAGAAAUUCCAGAAAUUUGUUCAUGAAUCCCACCUGAAAUUUCUUCGAAGAUUCCUCUUGGAAAUACUUCGGGAUGCCUAGAGAUUUUUUUUCGGUGAUUCUUUCAGGAGUUCUUUUAAGGAUUGCUCUACAAGUUCCUUCGGUGAUCUCUCAGGGAUCACCCUAAUAGCUCCAAGAGGUUUCUGGGAUGCCUCCAAGUGUUUAUUGGGAUUUACUUCAGAAUUUCCCUAAGCUAUUUCAACGGGAGUUCGUUCAUGUAUCCUUCCAGAAGUCCCUUUAAAGAUUCUUUUAAGAGGAUUCAUAAAUGCCACCUGGAGAUCCAUCAAGAUUCCCGUGAGAAGUUUCUUCAUUAGUUCAUGCAGGAGGUCUUUAGAAAUUAGUCCCCCAUUCCAUCAGAGAUUUCUCCAGGAGUUUCAAGGAUUCUUGCAGAUGUUUCUUCACAGAUCCCUCCUGAAUUUCUUCAGGGAUUCCUACAGAAGUUGCUUCAGAGAAUCUUAUACGAAGAUCCCUCCCAGGGAUCUCCCUCCAGGGGAAUUCAGGGAUUACCCCAGAAGUUAAUUCAGGGAUUCCUAUAUAAGAGUUCCUUCCAAGAUUCCUUCAGGAUUCCUUAGGGGAUUUCACGAGAAGUUCCUUUAGGAAUUCUUCCAGGGAUCGCUCCUGGGGUUCCUUCAGAUUGUAGGUUGAGAUUGAGAUUUUUCCAGGAAGACUCACGGAUGCCUCCAGCAGUUACAUCAGAGAUUUCUCCAAAAGCUCAAUCAGAAAUUCUUACAGGAAUUGCCUUAGGGAAUCUUGUAGGAGUUUCUUCCCUUAGGAUUAUAACAAGGCAUAUCUCCAGAAUAUUCUUGAGGGAUCUUUCAUGGAGUUUCCAUAAGAAUUCCUCAAGGAUUUCCUUCUGGAAAUCAUUUGAGGAAUUCUUUAGAGAAUACUUCCUGUAAAUCCUUCCCCCUACUCGGAAAGAUCCGCUGAAAAUCCUUCGAGGACUCCGCCUGGAAAUCCUUUGGAACUUUCGAGCAUUUUCCUGGAAUCCCUGCAAGGAUUUCUCUUGCAAUUUUUUCGGGGAUUCCUCCUAGACUUCCUUCAGUGGUUCCAUCGAGGACUUCCAUCGAGGAUUCCACCUGGCCUUUUUUCCUGGAUUUCUUUCGGGGAUUCCUCUUAGAAUUCCUCCGGAGAUUCUUCCUAGAUUUUCUUUCAGGGUUUCCUCCUAGACUUCCUUCGUGGAUUCCUCCUGCAAUUCUUUCGGGGAUUCCUUCUAAUAUUCCGUCAAAUUUCUUUGGUGAUUCCUCUCAGAAUUCCUUCGGAGAUUCCACCUGGAUUCCUUAUGGAGUUCCUCCAGGGAUUUUUCCUGCAUUUCAUUUAGGGAUUCCUCUUGGACUUCUUUCAGGGAUUCCUCCUAGAAUUCAUUCUGAAAUGUCUCCUGAAAUUCCUUUGGGUAUUCAUCCUGGAUAUCCUUCAUGGAUCCAUCCUGAAAUUUCUUCGGGGUUUACUCCUGGAAUUUCUUUGAUGGUUUCUCUUAGAAUUCCUUCGGAGAUUCCUUCUGAAUUGGUUCAGGUAUUCCUCAUGGAAUUCCUUCAGGAGACUUUCUGAAAUCCCUUUGAGGUUUUCUUCUGGAAUUGCUUCAUUGAUUUCUCCUAGAAUUCCUUCGAGGAUUCCUCCUGGACUUCCUAUGGGGAUUCCUCCUGAAAAUCCUUCGAGUAUUCCGCUUGGAAAUGCUUCGGAAAUUCCUUCCAGAUUUUCUGCUCCUCCUGGGAUUUAUGCAGGGAUUUCUCCUGUAAUUUUUUCGGGGAUUUCUCCUGGAAUUUUUUCAGGAAUUUUUCCAGGGAUUCCUUCGGGUAUUCCUGCUGGACUGUCUUCAGGGAUUUCUCCUGGGCUUCCCUCGGGGACUCCUCCUGAAACUCCUUCAGGGAUUCCUCCUGGAUUUCAAUCGAAGAUUCCUCCUUAAAACCCUUCGGGGAUUCCUCCUAGAGUUCCUUCGAGCAUUUCUCCUGGAUUUCUUUCGGGAAUUCCUCUGGAACUUUCUUCGAGGAUUCCUUCUGGAAUUUCUUCGGGGAUUCCUCCUAAUAUUCCGUCGGGGAUUCAUCAUGAAAUUUCUACGAGAAUUUCUCUUCGAAUUUGUUCGGGGAUUCUUCCUGGAAUUCUUUCGGGUUCUCCCCUUGGAAUUCCUUCGGGAACUCCACCUAGAAUUAUCUCAGGGGUUUCUCAUGGAAUUCCUAUGAGGGUUCCUACGAGAAUUCCACCUGGAUAUAUUUCGAUGAUUCCUCCUAGGAAUACUUUGAGGAUUUAUUCUGGAUUUUUUUUAAAUCUGGAAUUUUUUUGGGGCUUCCUCCUGGACUUGCUUCACCAAAUAUCCUUCUGGGAUUUUCGGGGAUUCAUCUUGAUAUUCCGUCGUGGAUUCCUUCCUGAAUUCCUCGGGGAUUUCCUUCUGGAAUUCCUUUGGUGAUUCCUUUUCGAUUUCCUUCGGAGAUUCUUCCUGAAAUUUCUUCAAAAAUUCCUCAUGGAAUUACUCCAGGAUUCCUCCUGUAAUUCUGUCGGUAUUUCCUUCUGUAAUUUCUUCGGUGAUUUCUCCUAGAAUUGCUUCGGAAAUUUUUCCUAGUAUUCGACGAUUCCUUCUUGAAUUUCUUUGGAGAUUCCUCCUGGACUUCCUAUGGGGAUUCUUCUUAGAAUUCCUCCGGGGUUCCACUUUGAAGAAUCCGCUUGUAAUUCCUCGAAGAUUCUUCCCGGAAUUCCUUCGAAAGUGCUCUCUCGGAUUCCUGCAAGGAUUUCUCCUGUAAUUUCUUCGGGGAUUCUUUCUAGGCUUCCUUCGAGGGUUCCUCCUAAAAUUCAUUGCAAGAUUUCCUCCUGGAUUUCCUCCGGUGAUUCUUCCUAGAAUUUCUUCGAGAAGUUCCCCUAAAAUUCUAUCGGGGAUUUCUCUUGGAAUUUCUUUGAAGAUUCCUCUUAUAGUAAUUUUGGGGAUUCCUCUUAAAAUUACUUCAGGGGUUUCUCUUGAUGGGUUCUUCCUUCGAGGAUUCUAAUUAAAAUUCCUUAGGAAUUCCCUCUUGGGAUUCCUUUGGUGAUUUCUCUUUGCAUUUCUUCGGAGAUUCCUCCUAGAUUUUUUUCGGGGAUCCUUCACGGAUUUCCUCCGGGAAUUCCUCUUAGAAUUCCUCCGGGGAUUCUUCCUAAAUUCCUUCGGAGUUUCCUGCUAGAAUACCUUAUGGGCUUCCUCCUGGAAUUCCUUUGAGGUUUCCCCAUGGAAUUCAUUCGGAAAUUCCUCUUAGUAUUCUCUUAGGAAUUUCUCCUGGAAUUCCUUCUCGCUAUUUUUCGUUGAUUCCUCCUAGAAAUCCGUUGGGGAUUCCUCUCGAAUUUCUUUUGAAAUUCCCGCUGGGAUUCCGUAGGAGAUUACUCUUGGAAUUCCUUUGGAAAUUCCUGCUGUAAUUCCCCUGGGAUCCCUGCUUGAAUUAAUUUGGGGAAUCUUCCUGGAUUUCCUUCUGAAGUUCCUCGAAUACUUCAAUCAGGGAUUGGUUCAGAAUUUUCUGCAGGAAUCUCUAAAAGAGAUUCUUGAACCGCCAGAGAUUCCUGCAGAAGUUUCUUCAGGGUUUCAAACAGCAGUUUCCACAGAGAUUAGUUCUGAAUUUUCUUCAUGGAUUGCUUCAGGAGUUUCUUUCAGGCUCCUCCUAGGAUUCCAUCUGAGACCUCCCUGAAAUCAUUAGGAGAUUCCUUAGUGUAAAUAGUGUGACCUUAUUAUCCAGUUUGAUUGCUUCCGAAGGUUCUGAGACAACCAAACAAAAAAACUGUAGCAAAAUCAAUAUUUUAUUACCCUUCAUUUGCAUUGGAGUAAUUCAAUAUGCUUUACAUUUAGGAUACCGGCAAUGUAUCAAUAUUCCUUUCCAAUUAUAAAUAUUUGUUAUCCCUAACUUCGAAACAGCUGCGAGUACUUCGGCUCCCCAAACUAUUAGUAUUAUGGUUGUUGACAAUUUGAAAAAUGUAAACAACGUAAAAACAAAAAUGUAUGAAUCAUUUCGGCUCUGUUAUGUCCAUGUGGCGGCCGAGCCUUCCAAAUAAACGAAUAAGUAAAAAAAAAGUGUCUCAGUAGUAGGUCUAAUGGCAGUGAUGGAUCCGUACAGAAAUAAAAAAAGGUAUUCAUUCUAACGUAAUAGUUAAUGUCAUCAAUAUUGGUCAUGUUCUUUGCUUUGCCUAAUAUGGUCAAGUUUUGGUCACGCCGAUUCACGCCGCCGCCGCCGCCGCCGAAAGCUGCCACCGGCGUGACGCCGAUGACGCCGCCGCCGCCGGCCAAAAAUGGCCCUCACGCCGCCGCCGAGCAAAAUAAAGUCGGCGCACAGGUCUAACUACAAGUACUUUACCAAUUGUGUCCUAUUUCAAAGCCCUUUUAGAGGAAUCCUAGCAGAUUAAAGCCAGUAGGAAUAAAUGGAGGAGUUUGAAUCCUUGAAAAGAAAAACUCUAGAGGAACUCCUUCGAGAAUUUUAGGAUAAAUCACAGAAGGUAUUUCAUUAAGAGAUUCCUGGGUGAAUUCCCGAGUGAAUUUUGGAGGAAUCUCAAGAGGAAUUCUAGGAGGCAUUAUCGUAUAGGAAACUUUGAAUUUUCCACUGCUGAAAAUGAAAUGAUGUACACUCCAACGCUACCUGCUAGGGGAUUUGUUACUUUUAAUCACAUGAACGGGUAACGUUUGACGCUUGAGCAGUUCGGUAUGUAAAAAUGUAAAAUAAUCUUGUUUUAUGCGAUAUUGGUUCAAAUAGUUAGAUAUAAAAAGGUAUACUAUACAGUUGACUUUUGAAGAUAGGUAUAUAAAAUACAACAAUGAAAAAAAAACAUUUAAACAAGGUUAAAAAUCAUUGUUGAGUGAAUAACAUAAUCUGAGGAGGGGGGAUCUUUUUUGGCUUCGAUAUAACGUAACUUUAAUAUAUCGUAACGAACAUAAAAAUAUUGUUACGUUAUAUCGAGUUAUGAAUGUAUACUAAUAUUAGUUUGGGCGAUCCACGGUACUCACAGCUGCUUAAGAA